rnacentral:lncRNA from 1 species
UAAAGAAUCCUUUUAAAAAAACAAAGAUAUGAGACUCUAAGCCCAAUCUAUUUUGUUUUGUAAAGAAAAAGCCCAGUCUAUCUCCUUUUGAAGAGGCCCAUCAAAAUUAACCACAGACAAAAAUAAACACAGACGGAGUCGGAGUCGCACUGAGCCAGAAACGACCGCAGCCGCUGUGCCCUUGUUGUAAAAAAGAUAAGUUCGAGUGUCACUGGACUCAAUUGGCCGGUAAACGCUGCCGGAGUUGGUCUUCGCCAGAAACAGUGAGAAAGUCAUUCAACUUUCCCUUCCUUUUUAUUAAUAAACUUUCUUAAAUGCGAUUUCAGCGCAAUUCGCGGUCGCGACAGCAGAUCAGAACACCAUUCCGCACCAAACCGACGCAAUUGAAAACCUAAAUUGCAGCUACAUUAGAGAAUUAGGGUAUUAAUGUCCGCAAGUACAAUUUCAUUCAUACUCUAAUGAUUAACUGUUAAUGACAAAAAUUUCGUCAUGAGGCAUAGCCAUAGUUCAUUCCCACCACAAAUCUUAGAAAACAAACUCGCUUCUCAAGAAGCAGAAAUCGAGCGACUCGCCGGCGACAAUCACCGAUUAGCAAACACACACAAAGCCUUAAGAGAUGCACUUGUAACUGCUGCACAAGAUGUGCAAAAGAUAAAGUCACACAUUAGAAGCACUCAAACUGAAAGUGACAUUCAAAUUAGAGUGUUGUUAGAUAAGAUUGCGAAAAUGGAGGUUGAUAUUAGAGCUAGUGAUAGUGUAAAGAAGGAGCUUAAACAUGCUCAUAUUGAAGCUCAGAGUUUGGCAGCUUCUAGACAGGAAUUGAGUGCAGAAAUUCAGUUAGCUACUCAGGAAUUGAAGAUGGCUAUUGGUGAUGUUAACAGUUUGCCAGAUUUGAAGGGUGAAAUGGAUAGUUUAGUGCAAGAGCACCAGAGGAUACGGUGAGUAUUCAAGUCUUUCAAGUUUGUGGCAUGGCUGUUUCCACCUUCAUGUAACCCAUACUCAAUUCUUAAGGGUAUUUUAGUUAACUCUGUUGUUACAUGGUCCAAUCUGUCCUAAAAACUUGGUUUUUCACAUGACACAUUGGUAUUGUUUAUGCAACUGAUUCUUCCUAGUAUGAUUUUUAUUUUUUUUUAAUUUUUUUUUAAUUUUUUGUGUGAUAGUUGUUAUACUAUGAGAAUGAAUAUAAAGUACACUGCUUUCUAUAAGUAAAAGCUGCAUAUUUUAACCCUUCCCAUAAAACAUAUUGAUAUGAACAACAUGAUUUUAUAUUGUGGAUGCCUCACACAUACAGAUACACUACAAACCUUUAUAUUGUAGGAAAAUGCCAGCAAAUGUUGUCUAUACGGACACAAUUGCUGUUGUGAUGCCUUUGUGGAGACCUCCAAAACUGUUAUAUUGCGGCUAGUGUUACCGAUGACUGCCAUGGCAGAAAGCUGAAAAAUUGCCAAUUUAAGCUGCCAUUAAAUGUCAUAUGGCACCGCCAUCCCUCACAAAUUGAUCAUAGUGGCUGUCAAAAAAAAACACCACCGCAAUCGGCUGUGGCUGUCCAUGGUUGAUACUACCUCCGGUUCUAUAUAUAAAAACUUUUGGGUUCUAUAUAUAAGAAAAAGUCACGACUUUUAAGGUUUAAAUUACUUUUAUACCCUUGUUUAAGAUGUUUGUCUUUUUAAUAUUAUUAGUGGGUAUUUAAUGUCUCAGUUUUCAAUAAGGGUAUAUAUGUAAAAAUAAUCAAAAAGUUAGAACAAUUAAUUAGUAUAUUGGUUUUGAUGUUUUUUGUUAUUUUCUCUUAUAAAUGAAACCAGAGAUAGUAUUUGGCAACACUGAUUGUGUCUGUAGUUGUGGUUGUGGAUUGUAAUUUAGAACUAUGAUGAACGGUGAAGAAAUAAUCAAUGAAAUUUAUUCAUGAUGGUUUAUCUCUGAUGAAUACGGUAAUAGCAAAGUUAGGACCCAUAUGCUCUUGACAAGGACUAUUAUAUUCUUUUCUCCGAACUUUGUAAAGCUUAUUAGGAUAUGACUGCAUUCAAGAUAUGCCUUGUUAUCUCUGAAGUGAGCAUCAUGAGUGGCUUAGUAGUUUUGAGUCCUGUAUUGUCAAUUGUCAUGAUAUACUGAUGUGAAACAAAUCCGUUCAAAACUUGUAAGAAUUACUCUUGAAUCAUUUGAGGGUGCGAUGGAAUUGUUAUCAGUAUCUAUCAAUUUAUGUUUUAAGUCAGUGUUGCUAUUCGCGAAUGCCAUUAUAUGUCUAAAAUCUUGCAUAAUAUGUUACUCUUUUGCAUCAUGUUGCAAAUUUUCUUUUUCUCAGUUUGUUGCCUCAAAUUUGUUAUCUCUUUUUGUUGACUUGUAAAUUUUCAAAUCUACUUGGUUAAUAGUGACACGUUUGAAUAUGAAAAGAGCAAGAAUGUAGAGCUAGUGGAUCUAUUGAAAGCAAAAGAGAAGAAUCUAAUUGCGAUGGCAAGAGAAGUUGAGAUAUUACGGGCCGAAAUUUCGAAUGCUGAGAAAAGAAUAAAUGGUAAGUACUCUGGCUUCAGUCAGUUGUUGUCUCUUCAUAUGAUAUUUCUCUACCUAUGCGUUUCUGAUGCAUUGGUACUGUGUAAACAGCACCAAAUCUGUUUAGAGCAGCUACGCCAGCAGAUGGCAGUGGUCCCUUUCACGAUUCUUACGGGAGAGCUCACGGCCAGAUGGCUAUUGGCCAAGUAGGAGAGUCUAUGGUACCAAUGGGUGACAGCAAUGGAGUUGGAGUUGUAAAUAGUACUGAUGGAAGCGGCGGUGCUGGUUGGGCAGGUCAAUAUGAUCCCUCUGUUGCUGGGAGGUAAUAAUGUUUAAUGAGUGACCAUCAAUCAUAUGCAGCUUGACUUCAGCAUUUGUUGGUACAAUGCACGAGGGAUGUGAUGAUUUUUAUGUAAAUCUCAGAUUGGGCAGCAUUAUUUGUAGCUCAUUUCCUUUAGAUAUUAUACAGUUUUGCAAAUUGUUGAAUUAAAUUUGCAAAUGAGAGCCUGAGAUAUUUUUUCAAAAAAAACUUAUGGUAAAGUCUUGUAACUUGUAAGCAUAUCCAUGUAGUACUAGUAGUGAGCUAUAUGUUGUAUUUUUUUAAUUAAUUUUUAACCUGGAGCAAGCAAUCUUCUUAUGAAACAUGCUUAGGACUUGUUUUUAUCAGAUAAGUAAACUCAAAUAAUCUUUUGCUAAUUUCCAUCACUCCGACAGUAUCAACGCCUAGGAUGAUUGCUAUUGCAAAUCAUUAUGGAUACCAACAAGUAAGCUCAAAUAAUCUUUCCCGACGUAGGUGCAUAUCUGAAUUUUGUUUUUUUUAACUCCAUUAAUACUGUUUCAAAAAUUGCCAACUCGAGUUUAAUUUUCCAUUCAACGUUUGAAUGGAGUUCACUGCAAUUAAAACGAAGAAUGAUGUUCCACCAUGGUAUAAUCAGUGGAUUUUUGGCGAUGUGAGAGAGACUCUCACUUGCUCCAAAGUUCCAUCCUCCUCUUGUUUGGAGAUAUCUCCCCUCCUUUGUGGACGUUUCUUUCGCCAUAGAUUGGGUUUGAUAAAAAAUGAUUCUCUCUUGUCUCCAUUCUUGGUUGUGAGAAGCCAAUCACCAUUUCCAACUCUCUUGCUACCUCUCGAGUCUCGCAUCAUGCCUCCACCAACCACCAGCAACGUUUGCAUUUUCAUUACCAUCAGUGCAUGUUCUCCACCGCCACCAUCACUGGUACAUGAAAACUUCACCAUACCCAUCCCAAGCUAGACACAACAAAGACAAAUUUUCCUACAACCUAUCAACUGCCACUCAGUCACCCAUGUGAGGUUAGCUACCCCAUCCUCUCGGAACAACCACGUUGCCCGCAUCUACUAGCCCCCACAUCCAUGCACUACACCCUUUUGCUCUUGUCCACCGUCUCAAUUCCAACCGCACUGAGACGAUUUAGCAUUUUUCAUUUAAAAAGUUUUAAACCCCUGCAUUGGUUUAUUUGGAUCAACUCGUGCUUCAACUUUUUUAUUUUUAUUUUAAUAAUGUGUUUGGACUUCGUAUCAAAUAGUAUAGUGUGCGUGAAUAAAAUCAUGUGAAAUGCUCAUUCCGGGAAACAAGACAUUUUAUUGAAAAUUACGUUAUUACAAUGUAUUUUUAAUUGAAAUACAUUAUCGAAUACUAAUUAUCAAUAAUUUAAUAUCAUAUAAUAAAAAUGAGGUCGGAAAAACAAUCACCAAAAAUCAUCUAAACGGAAGUCCAAUCCCAAAACAAUAGAGCAAUCAGCUUGUUUUUGCUUUAGGUCAGUGCAGUAGGCCAGCUUAUGAGUAUAAAUUUACUAUUUUAUUGAUUAAUUAAUAGUAAUACUUAUUGUGUUUAGCGUGGGAAAAAGGUACCGAUAUUGUAUUGCUGCUUUUCGCACUCCCUUUUUGAAUGUUUAGAAAAGAGGGCUCAAGAAGCAACCCUCAUUAAUGAAUAGUAAUUGGGCCUCUAAAGGCCCAUGACACCGGCCUUUAUUAUUUAUUUAUAUCAACUAUAAUUUCCCCUUUCCUUACAUUUUGUUGAUUUGUUGAACGAGUCUGUCUCACAGUCAUGGCGGAGGUAAGCUCCUAUUUUCUCCGACUCUAAUCACAACGGAAUUUUUAUUUAUUUUCUAAUUUAAUUUCCAUUUCCCUUUUUACCUUUUCUCUUUUCGCUCUUCAAUUUUGAGGUUUUGCAUAUUCAUCUAUUAUAAAAUGUGUAGUCUCUCGCUGAUCUAUUGAAUGAUUUUGUUGCCGCUGAAUAUUUUUCCUUCCUCUAAGAUUGUGGAUUGCAUGUAAUUUUAUUCUUUACGAGAUGAGAGCUGCAUUUCGUAUUUUUUAAUUUUAAAUUAAUGUGGUUGCUGAUUUUCUUACAAUUCAACCGCUCGAUGUUGCUUGAAUAAAUUAAUAUUAUAGAAGGGGGGAAAAGUGAGAUUGGUGAGGUCGAGAUGGUUUUUGAUCGGUAAUUUUAGGUUAAACUAAUCUUUGGUUUUUGAAUGUUCAAUUAAUCUGGUCUCAAAUAUAAGUUAGAAUUACUUUUUUUUUAACGAUCCAGUUUCUAGGGAAAUGAGGCCUUGGUAAUCUAGAACUCGGCCGGUGGAGCUUAUAUAUAUAUAUUUGGUGGUAUCACUCCUAUUUAAUGAUGUCAUUUCUAAUAGCCCUUCAAUCAAUAUAGGUUUUAUUUUUCAAUGGUUCUUGUAUUCUCAUGGAGUAGGCUCUCAUAAAGGGUACUUUUGAGAAUGAGUUUUUAUUAGAUGAAUAAUAAUAAUUGUAUCUAACUAAAUUUCUAAAGUUCUUUAUAUUGCUUGUAUGUUAAUUAUGAUUUAUUUUACUUAUAUCUUAGUUGUUGCACCCAGAUGGCAUUUAGCAAUUUGAUUGCACUUUUUGAAAUUUGAUCAAGAGGUUUUUGAUUAUCCAUCUGAAGUUGGUUUUGGUUCUGAUGCAACUGGCAACUUUGACCCCCCUAUAACACAAUUUACAUAUGAUUCUUAAUCAAGAUGUGUAUUUUGUCUUUGUUUACAUUUCUUCAUUCAUAUGUAUCGUACAUAUUUAAGAUAUGCUUAUCUUCAUUGCUUAAAACUAUAUGGUAUGAUAAUGAUACAAUAUCCCUUGCUUUCUGCUGAGAUACAUCUUAUCCCAUUUGAGUUUUAAAUUUGAUGUAGCAUUUAUCUUUCCAUCUUGUCCCUUGGUCUUUUUCCUGACUUAAUGUUGUGUUGCUUUCUUCUAGAUUGAGCUAAAAACAGCACCUGUUGAUUUUCGUUUUCCUACAACUAAUCAAACCCGACACUGUUUCACUCGCUACAUAGAGUUUCAUAGGUGGAUUUUCUGACUCUGGCUAUUUGGCUCAACGAAAAUAGUUUGUAAGAGCCUUUUAUUUAAGCUUUACUUUAAUUACAGGUGCACAGCAGCAAAAGGUGAAAACUCAAGUGAAUGUGAGAAGUUUGCCAAAUAUUACCGUUCUCUUUGCCCCGGUGAAUGGGUAAGCAUCCCUUAGCUGAUUGGUUUACUUGGUUGGGACUGACUGCAAAUUUUCCUUAAUGUUAAGAUUGAUGUCAUAGCUAAACUUAUGUGAUUUGUGGUGUACUAGAAAUAUUUUUGUUGCGAUAAAAAUCAACGAACUACCAGUUCGACUCAACUUUUCCUGCAUGUGGAUUACCUUUAUUUACAUAAUCACUAAUCAAUGCAAUUGCCUGUCUAUGUGUUUACAAGAUAGUCUUCAUUGUUUAAUGGAAGUUAUUUUCUGAUAUAUUAUAUAUUGUUCUGGUUUUGUAUUGCUGUUAUGCUAUUUAUUUGUUAGCCCUCUAGGUCAAAGCUAUGCAAGAUUCAUUGUUUUCAUUUUGUGUAGCAAUUAAAACUACUGAAAGAUGUCAUCAUGUUCACAGACUUCAAGCCAUUUACCUUUAAAAAAAUGAAUUUGUAUUUAUGUUGUUGAAAAAGAUGAAACUCGCGCUUCAAAAUAAAAUCAUUCCAUAGUUUAGAUUUAAGAAUCUCUGCUUUGGUGUUUGGCCUGAGAAGCAGUGUUCGAAACAAUUCAAUGCAUAUCCAAAAUCUGAACAAUUAUGUUCAAAGCUAAAAAGUAGGCUUAUAUUUGUAUGACUAAUGGAGUGCAUCUUGUGUAGACUUAUAUUUGGAUGUUGGACACAAUUUUCUUUGUCAACAGACUUAUAUUUGUAUUCAGUAUAUUGACUAAUAAUGGCAUUAUGUUUUCCCUUCCCAGACAUUUAUUUUUAAUGAAGUUGUUAACUUGUUCCAAGAGCCAUAGUUACUUGGAAUUAAUCUUCUUGCUUUGCGCUAAAUUUUGUUACAUAAUUUGAACUAGAGAAAUUGGGUUCAUGAUCUCUCUAUUUUUGUAAUUGAUAUAUUUGCAAAUGUGCCCAUAUAUCAGUCCUUUGUAAAUUAUAAGUAUGAUACAUAAGAUUUAUUGGUCCAUGAUGGUGUUUGAGUUUUUUAGUAGGAUUAGGAUAAUGAAUUUGCUUGAAAUAUAUAGCUUAUUUAUGAAAAAAGCCUAUUCUUCUACUUAUCAGUUAUCUCUUAACAUAUACUCAAGGCAACAUACAUGACAAGAGUUAUUACCCCGGUGCUAAUAUAUUCUUCCUAGUUGUGCAAACAACAAAUUUUAUCACAAAUUUUAAAUUCUGGUAUUGUACCACGUGAGGUGGUUAGUUAUCCUCAUACCAUUAUAAAACAUUAUACUGAAGUUUUCCGUUUAAUGCAAAUUGUUGCAGGUUGACAAGUGGAAUGAACAGAGGGACAACGGGACUUUUCCGGGACCUCUUUGAAAGCAUGUGUCUGGGAUACCCUUCUGAGGCAUACGAAAAUUCUUGAACAUUCAGUUUAUUUUCUUUAAUGCAUUUCAUUAUCUUCACCUAAUCAUGGUGGAUCAAUAAGAUAGUUUAUGAAUAUUCAUUACUCCACAAAUUCCUGAAGUCAUUUUGCGUUUUGAGCUAAUCUAAUGGCUCUGAUAUUUUAUUUUGUUUGUGCAGAAGAUUGAAUUUAAUCUAUAAAUAAUUUUGUCAGACCAUCCCCCCAAACUAACCCCAACACUUUUCCUCCCUCUUUUUGAUAAAAUAACCGUUAAUUAAAAUUAUAGCAAAAAAUAACUUCUGCUGAAGGUUUGCAAAAUCGAACAUCAUAUUUUUGGUGCUGAAAUUGGGCAAACAAAUCCUAGGUUGGGUGUUUUUUUUCGUUUUGGUUGAAUCGAGUAUACAAAGUCUAAUGAUGUUAGGAAAAGAUACGUAGUCGUUUUUGAUAGGAAAUUUUAAUCUGUAAGGAAAUCGAGUCUCUUUGAAAUUAAAUUUGAACAAGUAUAUAUGUAUUUAAAUUUUUUAAGUUCAUAUUUUUUGAUUUGGUCCUUUUUUAAGUUAUACCAUAUUUGUAAUGUUAGUCUUUUAUUUUAUUUUCAAUUAUUAAUGCAAUUGAAAAAUUUUAAUUAUUAAAAUUUCUAUCAAAUAUUACAACAAAUAUUUAUAGUCUUAAAAAUAUAAUAAUAAUGAUUUAUUCACAUAAUCAAUGCUAUUAAAGUCUUCCACUUGAAAAGAUAAUUAACUUAUUGCAAUGUUAUAAUUUAGAUUUUAACAUUUUACUAUAAUAAUUUGAGAAAAAACUCAAACUUAAAAGAUUACUUGUGUGAUUUAAUAAAAUUUAAAGGUUAAAGGUGUAUUAAAAAAAAUUUAAAAAAAAUUAAGCACUUAAUAAAAAAUUAAUCUAAACUUAGAAGACUUUCAAUUACAUUUCAUCCUUUAUAGAGCACUAAUUAAUCUUCAAAUAUAUUAUAUAAAAACUUACUAGUUAAUCUCUUAUGCAUUGAGUCAGAAUAAACAAUCAAUUCCUAUAACAAACAUAUUAUAAAAAUAAUGUCAUUCCAUGGUAUCAAAGCACCAUAUGUCCAUCACAUUGUUUCAGUGGGUACAUCGUUCACCUAUACCAUUAGACAUGUUCCAUAAUUGACAUUUGACAAACCUCACUUGUCACUGGUUAUUGAUAACAAUGCAUAGGAAGACUAUUAUUUAUUCAUUUAUUUAUUUUUUUUCAUAUAAGAGAUGUAAGAUUUUGAGACAAACGGUCUAACUUAACCAUAUACUAGACUAUUGUAUUUUAUAAACUAAACUACUUUUGUUUUUGUUAAAAAAUAAACUUUAUGAAAAGUUGUAAAGAGUUAUACUAAGCCCUGUUUUAUUAAAUUGUGUAAUAAUUAUAUAUAUGAAAAUUGUGAUAAAUUAUAUUAAAUUAUAUUUUAUUUAAAAUAAUAAUAAAUAUCAUAAUAUUUAAUUCACACAAAUACAAAAAAAUUAAAUUUAAAUAAAAUGUUUAUUAAGCGAGGUAUCCCAUUCUAAUAGCUUAAUUUAUACUUUAUCAUUUCUUUUAACAAGUUUUAAAAAGCACGACACCUUCUUAUUUUAUACAGUAUAACAAAAAAGUAUGAUACCUUUUAUCAAAGCGAAAAAUAUUUAUCAAUGUCACGUUACUUAUAUAGAAAAAAAUGUCUGACACCCUUUUCCAUAAAAAGUAAAGUAUGAUGCCUUUUCCAUGGUAAUUAAAUUUUAGUAGUAAAUAUGAGAUAUUCAGAAAAAAUAGUAAAAUUACACGAGUUCAAUAAUUUUUUUGUCUUAAUAAAUGUAUUAAAUUUUAUUUGUUAAAAAAAUUCUUCAAGCUUUCUUCUCUCAAGUAUUGGUUUAAUGUCAAAUUUAACCAUCACAUUUUAAUGAAAUUUUAUAUGGUAAGUUUCAAUUAAUUUUUUUUUAAUGUAUCAUUGCUAAUACUUUGAAAUAUUAUUAAAAUGAUAUAACUAUUUAAUCUUUAUUAACAUAUAUAUCUAUAUCUCUAAAUUACGGAUUGAAUAGUUAAAUUAAAUGGUUGUGAUAUCAAGUUAUUGAUUUUUAAGAAAUAUUUAAAUGAUUGUGCUAUCAAAUUAAAUACUUUUUGACAAUGACAUCUAUACAAAAAGUCUCUUAUCACUUACCACUGGACUUUUACCGAAAAUAGUAAUUAAAAUUGAUUAUAGAAAAUAUUUAGAAGACAAAAUUUUUUAAAAUAAAUUUGUAAAGACUAAAUAAAAAUCUAAGGUGAUGAUUAGAUUGAACCACCGUCCAUUCACUAUAAUUUGUUUACAUAAAAAAAAAACUUGUUUUUAAUUCAUUUAUAAAAUAGUUAUAUUGAUGGAAAAAUUAUUUAAUUAUAAUAGCUAAUUUUUUCCUUAAAAGAAAAAUAGUCAAAUUUUAAAAAAUCAACGGAAUGGAAAAAGAUAAAAUUUUAUUUAUAAUAGUGUUGGGAGGGAGUAUAAAUGUGAAACACUAUAAAAGAGACGUUAAAAUUUUGUUUAUAACAGCGCGACGUGAAAUACAGAAGAAACGCGUUAAAAUCUUAACGUACGUUGGAAAUAAAUGAUUAAUUGUUCUUAAUAUGAAUUUUUUCCCUUGUUGGCAAUUUCCGUGUUCCGUUUAACUUACGUGUUUCUUCUCAACAGUCAAAACAAACACCAACAACAAUUUUACAUUUCUUAUAAAAUCCUCUUUCUCUCUUUCUCUCUCUCUCUCUCUACUUUUAAUUUUCAUAUUCACAUUCUCACAUUCUCAUCAUCUCAAUCACCAUGGUUCGAUUCACCAACUCCUUAAUCGGUUUCCUAAACUUUCUAACCCUAAUUUGUUCAAUUCCAAUUCUGGUAAUGGGUGUAUGGCUAAGCAAACAAGCCAACACAGAAUGCGAAAGGUGGUUAGAAAAACCCGUAAUUGCCCUCGGUGUUUUCCUCUUAGUUGUUUCUCUUAUGGGUCUAAUCGGUGCUUGUUGUCGUGUCUCAUGGCUUCUCUGGUUCUAUCUUCUUGUCAUGUUCUUGCUCAUCGUUCUUCUCUUUGCAUUCACAAUCUUCGCUUUCGUUGUUACUAACAAAGGCGCUGGUGAAGUUUUGGCGAAUAAAGGUUAUAAGGAGUAUAGGCUUGGUGAUUAUUCUAAUUGGUUGCAGAAUAGGGUUAAUAAUAACAACAAUUGGAACAGGAUUAAGAGUUGUUUGCAAUCUGGAAAGCUAUGCUCUCAAUUUCAUUCACAAUUUCUUAAUGAUAACGUUAAUAAAUUCUACACCGAGCAAUUGUCUGCUCUUCAGGUUAGGAUUCUGUUUUUUUUUUAUUUAUGGAAUUUAUAUUGUUGGUGUUGAUUGGUUUUAUGGGUUCUUGUCAAAAUUUGAGCUUGCAUCGUGUGAUUUAUAUUUGGGGUUUAAAUUUUGAGGAAAUAAAAUAUUAGGGUUGAAAAUUUGAAUUUAAAAUGUUGAUUUGUUUUUUGUUUUACAUUUGCUUGUUUUCCCAAGCCAUAAACUUUUAAUUGGGUUUCGGUAAAAAUAUUUUCAAAGCUUAUUUAUUGCAAAAGUAAGCAUUAUUCUUCUGGUGUUCAGCUGGAAUUUUAGGUGGUAAGGAAUGUUAAUUUUUAGAUGUUCAGAUUUUGUAAUAGUAAAAUUGUAAUUUAGUUCAUGUUUUGUAUAGAAAAAAAGUAGUAAUUACAAAGUUUUUUAUUAUAUAUUUUUUUAUGGAACAAAAUUUCUGAGUAUGUUAUCAUCAAAAAAUUUCUGAUUAUGUUAUCAUGCAAAAAUUUCACGUGAUAGUAUAUAACUAUAAUGCAUUCUUGUGGUUGUAUAGGAAUUAGAUUAAAUUUAUGAGAUUCUGCUACUUUAUGAGUACUUUUUUGCUGAGUAGUCAGGGUUUCUUCUUGAAAAGUGUAGCUUUUUUAAACUGGGAUUGCUUUUCGUCUGAAAAGGCUUCGUUCUUAUUUUAUUUUGCUUUUUUCCAAUGCAUCUUUUAUCGGACUUUGUGGCCAUCCUUUUUUCUUCUCAUGGAUGCUAGUGCUGCUGGGCUAAAAGUUGAUCACUUUUUUCAAUGUGGACUUCUUUUUGUCAAUAACUAAGCACUGGUUUCCUGUAGCAUUUCCAUACUUUAAAUGAAUAUAAUUUGCCUCACAAUAUCUGUGCUAUCAAAUGGUCAAAAAUUUGUACUUUUUCUUCAAAGGACAUAUAAGAAUCUUCCUGCAUGUCGUUUGAAUAAGAGGGAGUAAACUGUAGCUGUAGGUUUUCUAUGUAUCUUUGAGGACUAAAAAGACUAAGUUUUCAAUGUAUUUGAACAAGUGCAGUAAACUGCAACUAGUGAAAUGUUUAUUUUCCUAUCCAAGCUCAUGUUUGCAUUUGGCCUACAUUUGUGAUAUAUCUUGGAUUUAAGCCACCUGCGAGGAUAUCUAAACCUUUAUUUAGUGAUCAGCUCAUAGCUGAUAAAUUCAGAUCUUUGCAUCCAUACACCAAUUACUUAAAAAGCAUGACAAAUUCUUCACACACCUACCUGAGCGCAAGUUAUUUUGACUGCUUAACUUGACAGCAUAUUUUACUAUUGAAUUUCUGCGUGACACACAAGUACUGGUGAUUAUAGUGUUGUGUCAUGUUAUUUACUUUCUCUGUUACGGUAUUUUUCUAGUUUGAGUUCUAUGGUUUAUUUUUUAUGCUCAACUUUCACAUUGAAAGAACAUGGCACUUUACAUAUUGUAUUUUGUUUGCUGGCACGUGGAUUUGGAUUCUCUUGUAUCAAAAUAUCACAUGGCAUGACCAUGUAAAAUUUGUAUCUCUCUAUUUGUAAAUAUCAAUGAAGUUUGAUAAAGUCAUCUAUUUAAUACUCAUUAGAAGAGCGAUACACAAAUUUCAUAAGACAAGGUAAUGUGAGAUUUUAACGGCAGAUCAAAUUAUUCAAUGACUUUAACUUCAUUCCCCUCUGCUUAAGGCAGAGGUUCUGCAUUUACAUUGUUUUGGGGAUAAAAUUUCACCUAGGAUUGGAAUUCACUCUUAAAAAACUACUUAUACCAUUCCAUGAUUUCAAAGAAAUGAUUCUAGAAUUUUGAUGUCAUGAAGUCUGACUUUUAUCCACAUGUUUUGUGCAGUCUGGAUGUUGUAAGCCGUCAACCGACUGUGGUUUUAUAUAUGAGAACCCAACAACCUGGACGAAGCCGGCAAAUGCUCCUAAUACUACCAACCCUGAUUGCGAUGCUUGGAAUAACGAUCCAACCAUUCUGUGCUUCAAUUGCCAAUCAUGCAAGGCUGGUUUACUGCAAAACCUCAAGACUGAUUGGAAGAAGGUGUCUAUUGUCAACAUCAUAUUCCUCAUUUUCCUCAUCAUUGUCUACUCCAUUGGUUGCUGUGCAUUCAGGAAUAACAGGAGGGACAAUUGGAAGAGAUAUUAGCCUCAUAAAUAAUUAAUCAUUCACUAUUAUUAGCAUGUAUAUGAUUUUAGGCCGUUUGGUUUAUAUGCUGCUAUUUUCGUGUGGGUUCUUUUGUUUAUUUUCUGGAUUUCGUACUUUUUUCAGUACAGUUUGACUAUGUUGUGUAAAUUGCUCAAUUUUAUAUUACAGUUCUUAGCAUCACCCAUCUCUAUUUAGAUAUGACUUAAUUUGGUCACACCUUAUACUGCCUAGAUGGACUAAGUUAAUAUGAAUCAAAUGAAGUCAUAAUUUUGUAACAUAAAUCAUAUCUCUUGCCAAACAAUUUACCUCUAAUAAUUUCUUAACAAUGUAAUUAAAUAUUUCUUAAUUAACUAGCCACUUGAUCUUAUUCCUAUCGCUCAUGUUGCCUCCAUCACGCAUCCCUUUAAAAAAGUCGAAUCUAACUAAAGAUGAAUUAGACGAAAUCAAAAAGAGGUGGACAUGGCCCCGAUCCCAAAAAAAAACUGAAAUAUGAUUGUCAUAAUAAAUUAUUAUUUGAUUUUAAUUCUUUAAUUUUUAGGAAAAAUAAAUUUUCAGUAAUUCAAAAUAUAGUCAGAAAAUAAAGUAAAUCUAAUUAAAAAUUAUUUCAACUAGAAUUUAAAUUCAAAUAAUUUAUUUUUAAAUAAAAUUCAUUCACCAAUUGAGGCGAAUCAUCGUUUGAUUAUUGUCAUAAUGAUUUAAUAUAUAUUACAUUUUUAAAAAAUAUUUAUAAAAUAGUUGCGUAACCUUCCAUCUCAUAGUGUUUUGGAUAUAUCCCUAAUUCCAACAUAUAUCAUCUAAUAUAUAUCAGAUCAUCUAUUGUGUCCCCCUAGAGUAAAAAGAAAAUCCCUUGUCCUCGUCAUCUAAUCUCAGAGUAAUUGUGGCCUCAUGCAUAUCGUUGAUAGUCAAAUAUUUCUUCAUACAUAUCGUUAAUUGUGGUCAUACAAAUCGCUUUCUUUUCUUGAGACAAAAUAUUUCUUCACAUCUUAUUACGCAGCUUCUUUUAAUUAAUAGAAAUCAUCGUUAAAUAAAUUUUUAGUGGUAAUAAAAUUUUGAAAUUUCAUUUAUAUUUAUGUAAAAAAGUAUAAUAUGUUUUAAUUUCUACAAAAUUAUUCUAUAAAUUGUUUUAAUUUUUGGUGAAAUUAAAUAUAUUUUAAUUUUUAAAUAAUUUUUAACAAAUAUAUAUAAAAAUAUUAUUAAAAGUUUAACUGCACAAAUAAAUAGUUUUUUAAUUUAAAAUAAAAUAAAUAUGAAUUUAUAGAAAACUAUAUGAUAAUUUUUAUUUUUUUUAAAUAUGGAUCUAAAUAUCAACUGUUGAACUCAUUAUUUAUAAAACAAUCAUUGAUUUUUUAAUAUAAACUAAAACUGUUGGUAUUAUAAUAAAUUUGUAGCGACUAAUAAUUUUGAAAUAUAAUUUAUCAAGUAUUGUGACAUUGGUCAUGGCAAAGGCAUAAAACCAAAUUGUCCGGUGCUGAAAAUUCUUCUCCACUUAAUUAAUCCUUUGUCUAAAGGAAAAUGAUAGGCAUUGUGAAUCUAUUAAAAAAGCAAUUUAUUGUAUUAAAUUUUGAAUAUAUAAAAAGUAUUUUAAAUUCUGCCAGCCAUUCAAAUUAUGGACGGGACAUGAGUUGUAGCUGCCCUUGGAUCCCACUAAAUCAUAAAAGAGAAUAUUCAUGCACUUGUUAAAGAUAUUUUAGUACAAAUAUUAUUAUCUUCUUUUAAUUUAUACACAUUUUUUUUAACAUGUGAAAUAAUCUGUCUGAGUUAUUCACUGUGGAGUUAAGAUAAUUUAGUACAUUGCUAUAAUUUUAAAGUGUUUUUGAAUGUAAUAAAAAGUAUUUGUACCCACUAUUCAUUAUUAAAUUUAUAUUCCCAAAAAUUAAAGAAAUUGAAAUGAUGGAUCCAACAACUUGCAGAAAAAACGAUCCGAAACCAAAAAACUUCGUUGUUGUAUCUCACAACAGAUGUAAAAAUAAAAAAAAGUUCCAUUGCCGGGAAUCGAACCCGGGUCUCCUGGGUGAAAGCCAGAUAUCCUAACCGCUGGACGACAAUGGAUGUUUUUGUUAUAGAGACUCUUUGUAUUAUACAUAACGAAUAACAAUAAACCUCUACGAUUGCAAUUUCUUUGUGCAUUUUGGUUGCUUUUAGUAACUAUGCAUGCUUACUUUAGUAUAUAAACCAAGUUGCAUGUUAAAAUAAAAUGUUUUUGUACUAGUUUUAUUGAAAUUUUGUGAGUUUGAUGGUCUUUUUUCUACUUGUGAGAACAUUUUGAAACUAAAAUGUGUAGACUAAGUUGCAUGAAUGAUUUAGGCUUCAAAAGUGUGCACUGAAAAAUUACAUUGAAAUGAGUAAGCAACAUAACUUACGAAAUUUUACUUAUAUUUACCCUGAUUUCUUAGGACUUCUGACAAAAGAGGAAAGUCAAAUUGUGGGAAGGCAAAAGAGGAUGUUCACCAGAUUUCAGACACUCAAACCAGGUUUAAUUCAUCUUCAAAUGUCACUUGAAAACCUCUCUUCGUGGUGGCCUUUUUAAAUGCAAUGUCGAUGAUGUUAUUCAGGUAUUGGUAUGUGUGUGAGGAAUACUGAAAACCAUUUUGCUAUGGGGAGAAUGGAUUGAAAACUAUGAGUAAACAAGCUGCAAGAGUCUGGGGCUUGGGAUCUCUUUCAUGUGCUACAAUGUAUACAAAUGUCAUAUUUCAACUAGAUUUGUAUACAAAUUGAACAAAAUAUUAGAUUGUAGAACCAUUUUAUCAAUGUACAAAAUAUCAUAUUUUGACAAAAUUGUCUAUCAAUUAUGUUCGUUGUAGUUAUUUUUCCUAUCCCCUACUUAUAUCUUGAAUUUCAUUAAUAUUAACGAGAGAAAUUGGUUUGAGUCAACAAAAAUAAAAUAAAAUGAAAUUAACUCUUACUUUUUCCAAGCCAUUUUAUCAUCACUUCUUCUCAAUUUCUAAUUAUCUAUUGAAAAUAUUUUUGGUUUUUAUUUUUUAAAGUUUGUGUUUACUUUUAAUUGUCAAAGAUGAGAUAAAACAUGUAAUAAAUACUUGUGAUUGAGAUAAGAGAAAGUAAGAUAAGAAGCAUGCAUUUUUAAAAACAAUGUUUUUAUAUUUUCAACUUUUGAAAAUAUGCUAAACCUGUUUUAAAAAAUUGUAAAAGAAAAUGUUUGUGAAGAAAAAAUUGAAACUUAUUUUUUUUAUAUAUAUUUAUUAAUUGAAGUUAAAAUAAAAACAAAAAACAUGAAUGUUCUUGAACUUGCUAGUUGAUUCUGUUUUGGUUUCUUCAUUUUGGAAGUGAUCAAGUUUCACCAAAACUAUAAUUAGUAUAGUGAUUAGUGCUCCAUCUUGGUCUCUACUACAUGUUUUGACUUCUCUUCAAGAAACGGUUCUUCCAAAUCUAUCCUAUUAUUGUUUGUCUCAUCAUCCUGAAUGUUUGAUUGUAGUUGCUUCUCAUCAAAGUCUUUGGCUUUACCCCAUAAGACAAUAUACAAACCACUGAUCACUCCAACACCACCUAUCAAACUGAAAUAUUCAAUGAUGCAUGUGAGUAGGCCACACAAAUAAAUAACAAAAGUAUAUAAUAUAAAAUAUUAAUCAUGCAAUUAUGCAUACACGAUCAAAAUUAGAUUUAAGAGCAUUUUUUAAAAGGGUGUCUUAUUUAAUUUGUAUAAUGAUUGUUUCAGUCAAGUUCAAACUUGGAGACUCACAACCAAUGAAUUCUUAACUAGAGUUUAUUAACUAGAGUUUAACAGUUCAUAUUGUCAGAAUUAACUUUUCACUCCUCCUACUUUUCAUGCUCUUAAUUACUAUUUUGAGUUCAUGAACAAGAUAGGAGAAAAAGAGUAGUGUAUUACCUUCCAACAUAUAGCUCUUCUUGUAGGAAUGUAGCAGUUACCAAAGCUGUGAUGACAGUUGCUAAAGGGUUGAACAUUGCACAAUACAGAGGACCUCUUUCUGAGAUGCACCAUGAUUGAAUGAAGAAGCUAACCGCAAUUCCAAUUCCCUAUUUCACAACAAAGAUAUCACUUAAUUUCUAACAUAAUCAGCAUUACACAAUAAUCUAAUUGGAGGAAAUAUUCAUUUUGGUCUCUAAAUGUUGAGAAAGUGUCAAUAUAAUGUCUGAGUGUAUCGGAACUUCAAAUACAUUUCUAAAUAUGUCUUUCGUUAGUAAUUUUAUAGAACAAAUUGACAAACAAAAGACACAUUUAUAAUUUUUUUUUAAUUUUGAUACACUCAAAGACUAAAGUGACAUCACUGACAUAUUCAAUGACCCAAAUGAUAUGACGGUUUACUCAAUUGAAAUGUUUCUGAGGGGCCUGUGACAGACUUACUGCAUAUAAACUGCAUGAAAUUUGUAAUGGUGAAUGUAAAAUCCAUGCUUGAAGAUCAUGCUCAAAUAGCAGUGCAAAUAUAGCUGACUGUAUUGUAGCAAAGAGACACAUCCAAAAGGUUGACAAUAUAUGAUCUGGACAGGAUGAAGAAAUUGGUACCUAUGUUCAAGUUUAAUGAUAUGUCAAUAAUUAAUGUAAUAUAAUAAGCUUGUCACCCUCAUUAUGUUUUAAUUAAUUAAUUGAUUGAUUAAUUUACCUGCAUGAUCAUCCAACAUGACCAAAAAAUACUACUUGCUAAGAGCAAUAGACAACCCAGCACCCAAUUCUCACUUCCACUUGCAGUCAAAUGUUUGAAAUCAGGAAAGAACACUUCCAUGUGUAACAGCUUAUGUCCUUUCAGAAAUGCCAUUGUUAAUGCUCCACUCACACAACAAAUUGUCCCUAAUAUCUUGGCCAAGUUUCUUAAACUUUUAAGAUCUAUUUUCUCAAAUCUAAUCAUUCAAAAAACCAGAAAUUAAUUAAUGUUAUUGCAUAUUAGGUAAGUCAUUAACAAAACAAAUAUGAGUCUCACUAGCUAGAGGCAUAUUAAUUUAAUAUAAUUUAUUUUGUGCAUCAUAAUUGUAGAGAAAUUAAUUACCCCAAAAUUGCUGCAAAUACAAAAGUUAAUGCAGGUAUCAAAUUACUCAUUGCAGUGGCUGCUGUAGAAGAUGCAUAGAAUAAACCACUAAAAUAUGCAUUCUGAUUUAAUGUAACCCUGCAUUUAAACAAUAUAUAAAAGAAAUUAAGUAAGUUUCAAUAUUAUUAUUUAUUUUUUAAAAAAACUAAAUAGUAAUAGUAGCAUAACAAUCAAAAGUAAUUUGGCAAAGUAUACCCAAUAAGAGAGGUCAUAAACAUCAAAGAGAAAUUCUUUAAUCCUAGUGAAGUCUUCAAAGAUUGUCUCCUACAAUCAUUAAAAGCAAACAUAUAUUAUAUAUGUGAGUGGAUGAAUAAGAAGAAGAUUAAGGUUAUUCAAUUAUAUACAUACCUCUUAGGGGAAAAGAUUAUAGGUGCCAAUGCCAAAGUGGCUAUGCCUUGUCUAUACACUACAAAGACUGUAGGAGUCAAUCCAUCUAAUAGAGCAGCUCUUGUAAAGAUGGCAAGCAAUGCAUAAUGAAAUUGUAAUCCUAUCAUAACCAUUAAUGGAAGAUAACCAUCUAAACAACCCAUUUUGAUAUGUUCUCUCGCUUAAACUAUAAAAUAUUUGAUGCACUUGAUAUUUAUAAACACUACAAAUGAAUCAAGGUUGAAACAAAGGAAAAAAAAUACUAUAUUACUUCUUUUGUAAUUUCUACUGGGAUAGGUCUAUCGUUAAUUCAUAUUAAUAUUUAUUUUAAAGGUAUUUUAUAUUGUCAAUUAAUUUUAACCGUUAAGUAUAAUAAUAUUUGACUUUAAUUAUUAUUAUUUUUAAAGCAUCACAUGUAAUUAAUUAUGAUUUGUAUAUUUUGAUUACAUAAAAAUUAAUUGUCUAAUAGUGUACAACUUUUAAAAACCUCAACUUGUGUAAAAAAUAUUAGACAUAAAAGAAAUAGUAUAAUAAAUACUAGAAACAACACUAGUUAACUUUGUUGUUGCAUACUACUCCAUCUGAUUUUAAAUAAAAGAUAAAUUAAAUUAAUAGAAAUUAAUAUAUUUUAUUCAAAAUUUAAACUAAUAUAUUUGUUUUUGUUGACUUUUUUUUUUAUUAGUGAUCAAAGAUCUAGGGAGAUAUGCGGAAAUUAGGAUCCUUGGAAGGAUAAAAUUGACAACCCACGUUUUUGUGGUGCUUUGGAAAAAUGACAAUUAGAAUGUCAUAGAAAAUGUAAGGUGAAUAUUGCCAAAUGGCAUUUGUUGGCGACAAAAUGAUUAUAGAAGAUAGGAUCUCCACGGUGAUGGUGGCCAAUAUUUCAAGUUAAUCUGCCAUUCCAUCGUGUAUAGUGGCUUUAAUUAAAUCAUUGGCUAACUUCCAAAUUCCAAUUAUAGCUCUAUUAGUUUGUUUUUUUUCUUGCGCGGUGGCAGUUUUUAGCAUACCACUUUGUCAGAUCAGAUCCAUUCUUUGGAGACAGAAAAUCAAUAAUAAUAGUAAUAAGUGAUAUUUAAUCAACUUCUAAUAAAUUGAUAUUUUAACAAAAAGAUAAACAAUAGGAACACACCAUUUCUAAUUUAUUAUAUUUUUUAAUAUAUUGUAUUUAAUUAGUUAAAAUUUACAUCAAUUUUAUUAAAAUAUAUAAGUUUCAUAAAAAAAUUAGUGCAACUCAAAUGUAUUUUAAUUAAUAAAAAAAUAUGUUAAAAAAUUGUAUCAAUUGGCUGGGGUCUGUAAUUAUAAUACGAUGGAUAAUGAAGAUGAUGUUUGUAAUGUCAAACAAAAUCACACUGGUGAGGAUUAAGGAAACUACUACUACUACUACUACUACUAUUAUUAUUAUUAUUAUUAUUAUUAUUAUUAUUAUUAUUAUAUCAGAUGUAUCACAGUAGUUUUGACACUAUCUCAACCCACACUACUAAGGAGUGUGGAUAUUGAAUGGGACAGAGAAUAAAUAUAAAAAAAGAGAAAAAAAAUAAUAUAAAAAUAAUAUAUAGUAUUUGUGUCAAAUUCUAUACUUGAGAAACAUUUCUAUUUAUUAAUAUUAACUACAAUUUGUUUUAAUAAACACUCUAAUACUUUUGAGUUUUGUUGAAAUGAUAUAAUGUUAUGCUACUUUUUAAUUAUUUAAAUUUUAAACUAAUUUUACUUUAAGGUAUUGAUAUUCUACAAAAUACCGAUAAUUUAUAAGAAGUAUGUUGAUCAUAUGAUCACAUGAAAUGUCAGAUAUAAAGACAACCGAAGAAAGUUGUUCACGAGUUAGCAACCACACCCUUAUUAAAGGAAUCUUAUGCAUGCACAUGGCCAAUGCGUAGGUUGAUUGGUUUGUAGGAUGAAUUUUUCCCGGCAAAUAGAGAAGAUGAUGUAUAUCGAAUUUAUUUGAGACUAAAAAAAGGUUGUGUAAAAUAGUUUUACACCCUUAAUAAAUUAUAUAUUUCAUCCCGUUACACAAUUUCAUUCGAUCAUUAUAGUAAGAUACGAUAAAAGAUAUGGUUCUCAUUGAAUCACAGUGUAAAACUAUAUUAACAUAAUCGACUAUCAACUUGUGCAAUUCGUUAUGGCACAAGAUCCCAGUCUCAAUUUUUUUUUUAUAGGAUACUAUAACUUUUGAAAAAUAGCAUUAAUAUCUUAAUUUUAUAUGAUUAACACUUUGUAGUUUUAUAUUGCACGUGAUUAUGUGGCCGCGUCCUACCAGGAGUCACCACUCACCGUCAAAUGUUAGAAUUUUGAAUUUUGAUGAUAAGAUUUUGUAAUUUUAGAGGUCUGAUUUUUAAAUUUAAACAAAAUCUCCAAAAAUAUUGAAAAGACAAUGUUAAUAGUGCAUGUUCAUUAAUCUCUUAAAAUAUAUGUAAGUAUGAUAAAAUACUAAAAAUUCACAUUAUAGUUAAGACACGCGUGAUUAUAGAUUCUACAAAAAUGAACAUAUGUGAGUGUCACGAGUAUGGACGAUUUUAGUCUCCAGUUAUCAAUCCUAAAUUUGAAUUUGACUUAGUAAUUGUGUCAAACAGUAUUGUGUCGUAGUCGUUCGAUCUGAAUCGACAACUAAGAUUAAUUAACCAUAUAAAAUAAAUUAUAUAAUAUAAAUUGUCUACAUACUCAUAAUAUUUAUAUACUACCUCCUAUCUCAUUUAUAAGAGAAAAUAAAAAGAAAAAACAUUGAAACCAAUGUAUUCAUUAAUUGUUUUAGAGCAUGUUUGAUUUUUUCUUUGUAACACUAAAUGUAAUUUUGUAAUGAGUUCUUUAAAAUAUUAAUUCUACAAUGUUGUUUUACGGCAUGUUUGAUUGUUUAUUUCUAAAUGUUUGACAUUAUGUUUGGGUUCUUUAACAAAUUAAUUUUACAAACUUAAUUUUAAUUCAAAAUUAGGUUUAGUCAAAAGUACAUAAUGAGUACUUUUGAACCUUCAUUUCACAUUUAAAAUUAUAAAAAACUUCAUAUUGAUGUUGCCACUAACUACAAAAUACACCGACCACAAAAUUCACAUUAUAUUAUAAUAAAAUAAAAACAUUUUUUAACAAGUAAACAUUUAAAAGUUCAUUUAAUGAUAUAAUUCAAACAAAUUUUAUUUUAUAAAAUGAAGUUUGUAGAAAAAAAUACUCAAAUUUAAUUUGCAUAAGAAAAACACUUAAUUUUAAGUAAAAGUACAUUAACAAAAUGAAAUUUACUCAAAAAUACAUUUGUCAAGGUUAAUUCAAACGGAUACUUAACUCUUUGAUUAUUUAACUCUUUGAUUAUAAGACAUUACAAACUCUAUAACACUUAAAUAUAAAAAAUAAAUAAAUUUAAAUAACAGUAUAAAAAAAACUUAAACAAUAAAUCCAUCUUAAAGUCGUAAUGUUUUUCAUUACAUAGAAUCAAAAAAAUUCUCAAAAAAUUGUUUGAUAUAUAAGACUGGGGCGAGUAUUUAAUUAAUUAUUUCGAUGAGAAGUCAAAAAUUGUUUUAUUUGUUUCUUUUCGAGUCUAGUCACGUUUUGUUGUAAGUAAUUGCUUUAUUAGUAUGUGUGAUCGUGUUUACAUUGAUCAUGUGGAUUUGUAAAAAGAAUGUCCGUUACUCCUGUAUUUAUUUACCUUUAUAUUGAUCACGUUUCUAGAAAACUAGCUUUCUAUUUCUUCUUUUAUAAAUAGAAUACUAGCUAUUGAACGGAGGUUGAAAAUUAUCAUAAAUAAUAAUAGAAGCCUAUCAAAAUUAUAGGAAAAAAAAAGUCUAUCAAAAUUUAAAGAUAUAUAUUAUGUGCUAUGAUAUAAAUGUUUUAAAAAAAUAAAUUUAAAAUUGAAAUUCUUAAUUCGAAUUUCAGUUAUUUUAAAUUUUUAACUUUUUUAUAUUUAAAAAUUAUAUUUAAUAUAUCUUGAUAAAAAAAUUAUGGGUGAGAUUUUUAAAAUUUUUAAAUAUAUAUAAAAGAUUAUUUAAAAUAUUAAAAUAUAUACUUGAAUUCACUUAAUAACAAAGACAAUUAAAGACUACAGCUUAUAGAGGAAAAUAGUAUGAGAACUAAAAUUCAAUUUAUGGAAACAAAUAUAUUUUUAAAGAGCUAUAAAAUGAGUUUAAAGUAUCUCUUUAGUAAAAAAUUAGUUGAAUACAAGGUAGGGACAUGAAAUAUUUUAAGGACUAUGACUUUAACUUACAAAAUCAUCAAAGAAAGGCUAAUAUUGUAGCAAAUGUUUAAGAAUAUCUUACCUUAAACGAAUUAGUCAGUAUCCAAAUUCAAAUCUCUAAAUUGUUUGAUAUGCUCUUGCUUGUUCAUCAUCAUUGCAAACAUCUGCAACAUCUGUAAGAAUCCAUAAUCCAAGUUUAAUUUUUACAUGUAAAAUUUAUGAAAUUAUCAUUACAAAUAAUAUAGAUAUAUCUAAUGCAAUUGUAGUUGAAUAUUUAUAAUUUUUCUUCUCUUUGUUUUAGACUUUCUCUUGAACGAUCUCUUUCGAAGAAUCUGUAAUUUUAUUUAUGUGUUUCAACUUUUAUAUUGUCACAAUUGUAGCAUAUUAUUUUUUUUCUUUCUAGUCCUUGACUUGCCACGACUUUGUGACUUUUCACGCCUGUGAAAAUAUAUGGUUUGACUUCUUUCUCGUGACUAUGUAACUAGUAGUUCUUACUUAGUGGAACAACGAAUCAAAUCACAUUAUUUUCUUCAAGCUUUUUCAUUUAACAACAAAGACCUCUCAAUUAUCUCACAAGAAAAUUAACAUUAGCAAUACUUGUAACUCAUAAUCCAACUCAAUGUACGUGGUUGCCAACAAAUUCACUGUAUUAUGAAAAAUACUUCACUGUUAUGUCAUUAAAUACUCAUCUUAAAUUUCAUAUUGAUUAACUUUCUAAUAAAAAAAGCUUUAUUUUAUAUAUUUUUACGCACAUACAACUUAGCUAAUUUUUUUCACAUUAUCUCUACAUCUUUUCAGUUUAUGGCUAUAGAUAUACACUUAUAUCUAACCACUAUCUAAUCAAUAAUAUUUUAAAAUUUAUCACUGAGUAAAGAAUUUAUUGGUAAAAUUAUAUAAAUAUUUUUUGUAUAACAUAUCUUCUAUGAGAAUUUUUAAAAAUAUACAAUUAUUAAAAAGUUUAAUCAUAUUUAUAUUUUUAUUUUCCUCCUCCUUUUAAAUGUACAAAUAAAAAAUAAAAACAUAAAUUUGAUGCCUGAAUUUUCUAUUUAUUUCUAUUUUUAGGUGUAGUGUCUGGUUAGCUAACGUUAAGGCCAACACUAACAUCUUCCUUUCAAAAUAUGGGAAAAUUGUUUAUGUUUCUCAUUUUGCUGAAAAUAUAGAAUUUUAUAUGUUUCAGUUUUUUAAAUUGCCAGAAUAUAUGAGAUUUUGUUUUUACCUUACAGGAGUAAAAGUGGAAUUUAUAAAAAUCGUGGGGUUUGAUGUAUAAGUGUGGGGUAUGUAUUAGAUUUUUAUUGGUAUUUAUAAAUCUUUAUUUUUAUUAAAACUUUAAAAUGAAUGUGGAUCGAAGGCCCGAAAUAACUAAUAUAUGUGCUUGAAUGUUCAUCGACCUCUUUCGUUUUUGUUUCUCUUUUUUCAAAUAUAUUAUAAAAAAUUAAGAUUUGGAUUUUGUAUUAUUAAAAAAAAUAAAAUCGAAUAAACAACUAGAAAAAUGGAAAUUUAGAUAAGCAUUCAAGAGGCCCAAUAAGGAGUGCACCUAUGAUAAUUGAUAGCACUACUAGGUGCAAGGAAGAAAUAUUGUAGGGAGUGCAUAAGAAAUAUUGUGGCACCUAUUCCCUCUCUUCUUGUUUCCUCUUUUCCCUUCUUUCAUCUCUUUUUUUUUUUCCCUUCAUUUUAUGAGAUAUCAUACUGUUCUGCUACAUUGCGUCAUCCCCCCCUCUUUCUUCCUUUCAUUCGUUAUUUUAUUUUAUUUUUUAACAAUUGGGUUUUAAGUAAAGGGGAGUGUGAUGGAAAUUGUCAAUUACACCUUUCCAAAUUCUUACAAAUGACAAAUUUUAUUUUGACUACAAAAUGGGCUACUAGAAGUUGAAUUUGAGGUUUCUAUUGGGUUUAUUUCCAAAUCAUUCCCCAACUAUAAAAAAACAUAUUAUUUUUUAACUUCCUAAAUUAAACUUCACUUGAAUAACUAACAAUUAAUUUAAAAAAAAAAAUAAGAUUUAAGAGAUUUAUAUAUAUGAAUUACGACAAUAAAAUAUAAAUAAUAGAAUUAUUAGUAUAAAUAAAAAUAAAUGGAAUAUACAAUUAUUUUUUGGGUGUUACAUUAUUCAAAAUAAUUUAUCAUUUUAAACAGUUUUUAUAUUAUUUUUAAAUUUUGAUAUUUCUAAAGACAGUAACAAACAGAUUAAAACUUUGAAAAGUUAUUUAAUUUUUAAAAAUAUUGAUUAUUUUUAAAAAUAAUCAAUAACAAAUAGCACAAAUCAAAAUCCAGAAAAUGACUGAAAAAGGACCAUCUUCAAUCCAAAUACUAUCUUUAUUACCUAAAGCCCAUUUUGUUUUGUUUCUUUUAAAUAAUAAAGAUCAUUUAUUAGGAAAAAAAAAUUCUUACCCUUAAAUUUUUGUAAGAAUCUAUAAAAAAUUUCAAAUUAACUAAUUCAGAUUAAUAUUUGACACGUGUUUGAUUGGUUAUUUCAAACAUAUAUUUUUUUAUGUAUUUAAAAAAUUGAAAAAUGAAAAAGAAAAUAAAAAACAUAAUUUUAUUAAAUUAUAGUUCAUUUAGAGAGUUUCUUCAUUAUGGAACAAAGGCCAUUUUUUAUUUGGCAAUGCGGGUCUUUAUAUCACUUAACAUCUCCGAUUCUUGGGGAGGCAACUUUUCUUUUAGUCCUCAACUUAAUGUUCGAACAUUUUGUGUGAUCAAUUUUUUUUAGUAGAGGGUGCAUCCAAAUUAUGAAAGCAAAAUUAUUAUUAUUAUUUUUUUUAUAACAGGAAGCAAAAUUAGCUUUGAUCGCUCAACAAUUAUAGAUCCCAAAUAAUUUUUUUACGUAAAAAGUUUAAGUUUCAGUUUUCAUAUGUAUUGUGUAUAUUUUUGUUUCAUUCAUGUUAAAUAAUUAGGCGUUACAACACUGCUAUGAGCAAGUACAUCUAGGACAAGAAGAACACUUGUUGCACCUUUUUGCAGAAAGCACAUCAUGUUUAUGAGAUAAAUAAUUAACACUAGAUAACCAUUCAAUCACUCAUUCACAUUUUUCAUACAACACAAAAUCAAGAGCGCUAUGAUUUUACAAAAGAACAUUUUGGUUAUUCUCUUUUAAAGACAUAAUUAAAAUAGAUUAUUUUUCAUAGUCCAAACCACAAAUUAGAGAAUAUCAAGACCGCUCAAAUCAAUGGUCAAAUCCAUAAAUCAAGCUGAAUGCUUAAAAGAGGAAAAUUACAUCAGACUAGUGACAAGAUUGAUCUCGAAAUUGAUGAAUUGUGAGCAAUAACGCAAAUACAUUGUAUUUACAUUAUUCUACAUAAAGCUCUGCAUAAUUCUAAUUUGAAAUAAAAUACCAACUAACAUUUUACAACUCAUUACCUUACUCAUUCACGUUAACCAUCAAACUCAAAAGCAAGAACAUUCUACGUUUGUUAAAAACGUUAUGGACAAAAAUAUAAAUAUGUGUUUAAUUGCUUUAAAAUAGAUAUGACAUUUGGGAAGUGUGUCCAACAACUAUAUUCAAUUUAAAUUGAAUAUUCAAAACCUUUUACAAAUCUACCAACACUUAUUCAUGUAAUAACAAGUCAAAAAUUCUUCAAACAAAUUUCAACUCUCUUCACUAUAUUUGUGGAUCAUCAUUUACUAAAUUUGUCUUUAUUUAUCUUAAACAAGUUUUGAGAAGUUUCAAGAUUCCAAACACUUUUAUCAUACAUAUCAUUUGUAACACAAAUCUUUCUUGUAUGUUUUAUUGAAUGUGUUUGUAAAAAACGUUUCUAGAUUGAAAGGUGAUUGUAAAAAUUCUUUACAGGGUGAAAGAUGAAAAUUAUAAUUGAUCAACGUGUGAUCAAGAGAAAAUGUGCGAAUGAGAAUAAUUUGGUUCUGAAGCACAUAAUGAAAAUAUCACAGUUGUGAUGACUGAACUAUUCUGAGUUGGGUGAACCAAUAUACUUUUUAUGUGUGAUCUUUUUAUCUCUUAUAUUUAAUUAUUUGCACACACAAAUACACUUUAUUAUAAAUUAAUUUAUUUUAUUUCUAACAUAUUCAUAUUAUGAACAUGUUGUUUCAAUGACGAUUGAUCUUAAAUUAAUUUAAAUUAAAUACAAAAAUUAAAAUAUUAAAAAAAUUACAAUUUAACAUUCAUUUUUUGUGAUUGAUAUUACUACUUCAGUUACUUAUGAGUCCAGGUUUUAUAGCUCUUAAUUGUGACACUAUCAGUAACUAAUUUUGGUAUACAGUAACCUUUGUGGUCUACUUCGAGAUUAUCAAGGUCAUUAUAUUGUUGGUUGUGUUGUUCGCUCGAGUAGAUGUUUUGUCGUAUACUCAGAGCUUUGGGAAAUUUAUCAUGGGCUAAAGUUAGUUUGGAAUUGAGAAUUUUGCCAUAUAAUCGUUAAUAGUAACUCAAAAAAUGUUUUGGGUUCACUAGAGGAUGGUUAUCCCAUAAGUCGCUUUUAUAUUGCUCUUAUUAUUGUAAUUCACAAUAUCUUUCGAUAUUAACGAAUAACAAUUUGGUGGCAUGUGUUUCAUGAAGCUAAUCAAGUAGCAUACCAUUUUGCUAAGAAUAGUCUAACAAUUUGGUGGCAUGUUUUCAUGAAUCUAGUCAAGUGGCAUACAAUUUUGCUAAGUAUAGUCUACAGUUAGAUGACCUAGUUAAUUUUUUAAUCUUCUUUUGGGUCCAUUUUGAAAAUCUUAGUGAUACUUGUUAAUUAGGAAAAUAAAAAUGAAUCUUAAAUGUAAAAUUUUAAUUUUUACAAUUUUAAAAUACAAAUUAUACAAAUUUCAAAAUUUAUUUUUAUAUAGAAUUUUUAGCGGGUGUCCUUAAAGCAGGUAUUAUUAUUUUCAUCAUAAUUGUUAGGGUGUAUUAAACUAAAUAAAAUAAAAUAAUAAAGAGAUAUAACACAUACAACUACCCCUUUGUUUUGGUGCACGUGGCAGUUGAAAAUAAACAUCAUUUCCAAAGAAUAACCAAGUUGAUUCCUUAGUUAGACAGGUAUAAAUAAUCAUAACUCCCCUCUAACUUCAUUAAUAGGCGGCACCAAACUGUGGCAUGACUCGGACCAUUUCCUCUCUUUCAUUCCCACUGGAUUUUUGAAAGAGAAACACUAUACUCUCACAUUCGAUUGAAUUUGCAGACAAUUGCACGUACUCAAUUUACGUUUAAAUUAUCUCUUUACAAUUAAUUAGAUGUUUUAAAUUUUAAUAUAAAUAUUAAAUUUUUAAAAUUUAAAAUCUCAAUCGUUUAACUUAGUUAAACAUUUCAAAACUAAUCAGCUACAUUAAAUUUUGAUUGUUCACAACCGGAAUGCAAUUGGAUUGCCAUUGUACCAUAUCACCCAACUUGCACUUUCUCACACGUCUCGAUAAGCUCGCGUAUAAGGUUUACUAUUAAGUGAUGUUGAUUUUGUUUUUUCACUAUAAAAAACUAAAAGUACUUCUCAUCUGUAUAACAUUUAUAAUUCAUACCAACCGUCCAAAAUUUAAGUUAAAUUGUCAAUAUAAUUUAUUGAUUGAUUUAACAUGUAAAUUCCAGUUCAAAAUACUCACACAAGCUAAUAUUAAUUGCUCCCGUGUUUCCGUGAUGAUUCUACCUGAUCCGAUCCCAAUUGUGUCCUUUAUAUGUUGUCCUCCAAAUAUUAGAGUCGACUAUGAAAUUUUAAAUAUUAUAGAUUGACAAAAAAAAAUAGUGUCUUUCUAACUAUUUCAUCAUUAUUUUUUAAUAUAAUCAAUGUUCAUUAAAAAUUGAUUUCAAUAAAAAUCAAUAGAAAUUAUUUAAUUUAUUUUGUCAUUUAGUAGAUAGUACAUAAGAUUUUCAUAAUUUUAAUUUAAAAAUUUCUUUUUUAUUACACAUGCACCAAUAUCUUAUGAAUUCAUCGAUUAAUAAAUAGUCUAAUAAUAGCAAAAUAUUCGCAAAUAUUCUUUAUAAAUAAUUAUUCAUGAUUUUCUUUAUUUUUAUAGAUAAAAUAAUAAUUUAAUUUUCGUCGAUUUAAUUAAUUUAAGUAUUUUUUCAUUUUAUUAAAUUAAUACCAUUUAAAUAAUUAUUUUAUUUAUAAAAAUAAAAUGACCAUAAUAGUAUGGACGCUAUCCAUAUUAAAAUUCCUCAAUUGUUGUGUUGUGAAACAUGCUAAGGAAAAUAAUCUUACUACAGAUAAAACUUUAACGAACAAGUUUUCCAUUUUAGUGAUUCACUGUUCUUUUAAUUUAUCUCUCUUGAGUUUAUUUGAUUUUAUUUCUCAGAAAAUGUUUUAUUUUCAUAAAGUAAAUCACAAAAGAUUGUUUAGUCAUUUUUACCCUUAAUUGCAUUUUUCUAUUUACUAUUUUUAUCGAUUCAUAAAAUUAAUCAUCUAUUUUAAAAUUUGAUAGUUUUGGUUCAUCUAUUAUAUUUUUAAUUAAAAAAUGAUAAUAUAAUAUAUUUUAAAUAAUCUAACAUACACUCUUAUUAUAUAUAAUCAUCUUGAUAUAUUAAUUAUUUAUGUUGUAAGUUAAAUUAUAAAAAUGAAUAAUUUUAAAAGUUAAAAUUAAAGUUUUUAUAACAAUUUAAUAGAUAUCAAUUAUUUUAUAUUAUUAUAAAAAUUUAUAUUAUAUAUUAUAUCAUUUAAAAAAAGUCAAAAUUAUUUAAUUUUAAAAUAAAAAAAGUCAAUUUGACGACCAUUACCGUAGUUUUACAUAGAGCAAAAUAAUUUAUUAUUCAAAUUUUAUUCUUCCACAGUAUGUCCAACGUCACUAUGAUGGCCACUAACUUUUUUUGCUGUCAUUACCCCCUCACCGUCCUUACUAGCAAUCUACCAUAGUCAUUAAUGCUAUUUCCAUUUUCAAACACAGGCCCCUUACCACUAAUAAACAUGUUUAUAGGAGUAGCACUAGUUUAGUUGUUUCUUAAACUAAAUUAAUACAUGUUAAAUGUGGGUCUCUGAAAAUUUAGGUGUUCUGUGCACCAGUUUGAAUUUCAUAUAUAUUUUUUUUAAGUAGUUAUAUAAUAUAUCUAUCAAUUUAAUCAUUGAUAAAAUGUAUCAAUUUGGAUAUGUAGUAGUUAGAGUUGUCUUAAAUAUUUUAAAAAUUAUAUUUUAAUUUUAAAAAUUGAGUUUAUAAUAAAAAAAAAUACAAUUUUUAUAAUUAAAAAAAUAAUAAAAUAAAAUUUAGUCGCUAUACAAAAAUUCUCAAUUUUUUUAUCUAUAAUUUUUUUAAUUCACUUUUACUCUUUAUUUUAAAAAAAUUCUUUAUACAAAUAUGAUAUUUUUACUCCAUAAAAACGUCUUUAUAAAAUCUAGAUAGAGACUACAAGAAAUGAAUUUAAUUUUGAAAUGUCCCUGUAAAUAAAAAUGUCCCUAUUUUGAAAAUUGUAUUUGUAUAUUUAUGUUGUUAAGAAGUGCCUUUACUUUUACUUUUUCAUGGGGCACAUCUAAUUUUGGACUCUACAAAUUUAGUUAAUAUUGUACAUUUAAGAUUUAUAAAAUGCUUGUAUAUUAAAGAACUUCAAAAGGGCGUUUCAUGAGAUUAAAAUGUUAAUUUUGCAUAUUUUAAUUUGUAAAAGUGGGAUAGAAAAUAUCAAAUAUUAAGGUGUAAAUAAUAUGUAAUGUAAUUAUGAAAAUGAUAGUAACUAAAAAUAUUAAAAAUUAUAUAAUGGCGAAAAUAUAUAGAAAAAAUAAAAAAAAUUUAGGUGUUUUUUUUUGUUUGUAAUACAUGUAACUUAAAAAAAAUAUAGAAAGUUUAAGUUUGCAAAAAAACAUGAAAAAUACGAGAAAGAUAUGUUUCAAAAGUCAUUAUUCUAUGUUAUAGAUCUUACACAAAGUGAGCAAAAUAAUUUCAAAUUAAGCUUAUUACGUAUAACUAACAAUAGUGAAUGUUCCCUGUUUGACUUCUUGUUAUUUUUGCCCAUAAUAUUUGAUGAAAAGCCUCGUAAGUGUUUUGUUUCUGGAAAUUGCAUUUUGCAUACGUUACUAUGGAAAAUGGUGGCCGUUUCUAAAUUGACUUUUUUACAUGAAUCUAUUCAAUUUAAUUUUUUCGUUAGUUUUUCAUGUUAAAUUAAUAGUAUUAAAAAGAAUAUAUUUGAAAAAAAAUAUUUUAAUAAUUUGAAAAUGUAUUUAUAUUUAUGUACAAUUUUUUUAUUUAUAGAUAUUUAUAAUUAUGAAUAGAGAUAAAUAUUAUGUACAUUAUAUUUAUAUUUAUGAUAGUGAAAAUAUAACAAUUGUUUUUUUAUAAAUUAUUAAUAAAGAUAACUUGUUAAAAUGACUAUUUUGAAGAAAAACAACACUAAUUUUGGAGCCGAUAGAGUGCUCCCUUAAAAAGUUAAAAUGAGAUCAUUAAGCUAUGACCACGGGUUCAUUGUGUUUUUCCCCACAAUUUUCCUAAGUUUCAAAUUUUAAUUAUGUUAACUAAAUCUAUUUUUGUUGUUUGAAUCCGCCACAACAACUCCACGGUUUUAAGAAAAACAAUGGGAUUGGUUAAAUAUACAGAGAGUAAUUUUAUCUCUAAAUGCAAUAGGUGGUGUAUAGCUACUUCACCUUGCACACGUAUGCCAACUUUUUUCCUAAAAUAAACCAUACGUUAAAGCAAUUAAUUAUUAUAUCUGUAAAUUAUAAUUUAACUGAUAAAUUGAUAUUAUUAUAGUGAAUAUUACAUCUAAAAUUUAAAGUAGACAUCUCACAAUUAUAUACAAGUUUAUUUACUAUUUCAUUAAUAUAUAUAAAAAAUUUAAUAAAAUACUAACAUGUUAUGUUUUAAAUAUAAAAUUUUUCUAUUAAAAAUAUAUUAAAAAAAUAUGUAUUCAAAACUUUGAAUCAUUCAAUUUUUACUCUUUUCAUAAUAAUAAUUUUUAAAAAUUUCUCAACAAAUACCCUUAUUUGAUUUGUUAUUAUGACUCUUAAAUUUAUUAGUGUUAAAAAAAGACAUAGGUGGGAGCCCACUUUAACUGUACUAGUAUUUGUAUUGGCUACAACUCAACUGCCAAGUCUCAAGACCUAUAAAUAUGUGUGAUGUGAUUGGAAAGCAGAUAUUCAAGUUACAGUUAAAAUCAAACCUAUAGAUAUAAUUUCCCAUUAAGAAGGAAAGAAAGGUAGGGGAGGGGACAAUUUCAUUACAAUCCCAACCUAUCAUACCCAUUGGUUGCUUUGCUCCUCCUUUCUCAUAUAUACCUUUUUGGAUAUAUUUCUCUUGGCAAAUAAAUUUUUUUUUUUACUCUAUUUGUGUUUCAAAUUUCAACCAAUUGCAUAAAAAAACAAGAAAAGAAGUCUAUUACUAGAACAAAGGUACCAUUUAACAAAGGGAAAAUUUAAUUUAGUCUAGUGAUCAGAUCAAAUCAAAUCAAAUGGGUGCUCCUUUAUCAUCUUGGCCAUGGGAGAAUUUGGGAAUAUUCAAGGUACAUAACAAAAUUAUAUUAUUAUGUUUAGUUAUGAUUUGAAUCAUAUAUCAAAUUUGUUUCUUUUUUACUAUGAUAUAAUAAUUUUGUGGUACUGAAAUAUAUAUUUUUUGUUUAGUAUGUGUUAUAUGGGCCAUUGGUGGGGAAAGUGGUGUAUGGAUUGUUGUAUGAAGAGGAACACUCAAACUCCAACCUCAACUGGUGGUGCCUUCAUUUGCUCAUACUAUGUGGUCUAAGAGGUUUAGUACACGUGCUUUGGUGUUCUUAUAGUAACUUGCUUUUUCUUACUAGAAAUCGAAGAAUUCUUCAACAGGGUGUUGAUUUCAAGCAGAUUGACAAAGAAUGGGACUGGUAAUUAAUUAACACAUUUCAUAAUUAAUUGAUUUGUAUAUAUAUUUUUUUUUAAUUUAAGUAUCAGGCUGAACAUGAUGUGGUACAUAUAUAUGUAUGAUUAUUGAUUAUAUUAAAUAAAUUUUUUAUAUUUUUUGAAACAGGGACAAUUUCAUGAUUCUUCAAGCACUUGUUGGUUCAAUAUGUUUUUAUGUCUUUCCCUUUCUUCAACAUCUUCCUCUAUGGAAUGCAAAAGGACUUAUUGCUGCUUUGGUGCUACACGUGGGAGUCUCGGAGCCACUUUAUUAUUGGGUACAUAAGAAAUUUCAUGAAGAUUAUCUUUUCACUCAUUAUCACUCACUUCAUCAUUCAUCUCCGGUGCCGACCCCUCUUACCGGUGAGAUUCACAUAUAACUAACUAUCUUCAAUUCUAUUCUAUAUUUGGAAAUUGGUUGUUCAUAAGAAAAGCUAGUUGCAUAAUUUCUUCCAUUUCAUUAUAUUUUCUAGCUAUUUAAAUAUAUUUUUAUUCUUUAUAAAUAUAUAAAUCUUUAUUUUUUAUCUUUACAUUUUUUUAAUUAUUAAUUUAUUAGUAAUCUGUACAAAAUUUUGCGACAUAAUUAAUUUUAUGUGAAAAUAUCGACCGAUAUUUCAAUUAGGAACAUUAUUUUUUUUUAAAUUACAAAGAUCCAUUUAAUUAUUUAUUUAUUAAAAAUAAAAACCGAAAAAGAAAACAUAUUUGAAACUAUCUUAUUAUAUUCAUGUAAAAUUAGAUGUCAACAUUGUAUUGGUGAUUGAGCAUAUGAUUUGUGUUGUUGCAGCUGAAAACGCAACACUUUUGGAACAUGUUAUUUUGACGGUAGUGAUUGGAAUCCCAAUAAUUGGUGCCUCUAUGAUGGGAUAUGGUUCCGGAAGUUUGGUAUAUAGCUAUGUUUUGAUAUUUGAUUUCCUAAGAUGCUUGGGUCAUUGCAACGUUGAAAUAGUUCCACACAAAUUGUUCGAGGCAUUUCCAUUUCUUAGAUAUGUGAUUUACACACCAACGUAAGUUAAUUUUCGUUACAGCUAAUACACUCUCGAGUAAACUACGUAGUACAACUCAUUACGUGUAACAUUGUUAGAAAUUGAUAGAAGAUAGUAGUUGCUUGCAUUCAUUUCUCUCUCUUUAUUGGUAAGAACAGUGACGUGCAUUUAAUGCGUGCCACCAAAAUGCUAUAUGUGAAGUGUGAACCAUGCUUGAAUAUUGCACCAUAGCAUGUCGGUUUCUUUAAGACUUUGAUACUAUUAGUAUUAGAUUUAACCGUUUUUAUUGAUCUAUCUAUAAUAGUUUCAAGAGAUUCAAUAGAAAAAGGUUUAGUAUUUUUUUAGGUGAAAAUUAUUUUCUUCCUUUUUGAAUUAGACUCAUCUAAAGAAAUUUAAUUUAGUAUAAAAUAAAUGAUAUCAAGUAUUAAUGAAUAAAUCAAUACUUAAUAUUAUAUAUGUAUACAAGAUAAAUUAUAAGUAUGCUUAAAUAUAAACCAUUACGGCAUGUCAACUUAAUAAAAAUAUUUUCUAUAUUUAUUAUUUAAAAUUUAUGUUAAUUUUCGUUCUUAACAAAAAAUAUUUAAGACUUAUAAAAUGACCAAUUAUUUGUAUUUUUGAAAAUAUUGAAAAAUAUUAAAUAACUGUUUUUGUUAUUUUUAUAAAUGCAUCCUUUCUAGUUUGUAUGACAUGUUUUAUCCAUUGCAAUUGUCCAUUUCAUUAAUUUUUAUUUUUUGUAGAAAUUUGACGAGUCAUAUAUUCUCUUAUUAACAAGUUAAAAUUAAUACAAAUUUUAAAAAAUGAAAACUAAUUUUUUUUUCUUAAAAUAAACAAACUCUUAUUGUUUUUUUAAACUAUAAACCAUUAAAUUGAUGGUUGAGCUUUACAACAAAAUUUGUUCUAGAGAAUAGAGUUGUUGAAGUCUAAACAAAUGGACCACAAAAACCAAACUUUUGCAAGUUUGGUUAAUAACUUAAUUAGUUGGAGAUUAUUAAAAAAAAAAAAUAGGACCAAACGAUUAAUAAAUUUUAUCCAGAGCCUAGAUGCUUAUAUUAAAUAUCCCCUGCAUAUAUAGUUUAUCUAGCUUUCAUCUUUUUUCUCUUGAAACCUAUAGGACAGUAGAAUAGCAUUAGAAGAUAGCAUGCAUUUUGGUCCAAUGUGAUUCCAUAACUUCCAUUUACAUCCAUUUGUAUUUAUUUAUCUCUUUUCUAUGCUAUGCAGAUACCACAAUCUACAUCACACUGAAAAGGACACUAAUUUCUGCCUCUUUAUGCCUCUCUUUGACGCAUUAGGCAAUACUCUAAACAAAAAUUCAUGGACAUUACACAAAACAUUAAGUUCAGGGUCAGGUAAAUUGUCCUAUAAUUAAUUACUACUAGUAAUUAAUAUUUUUCAAUUUUUGUGGAAUAUAAUUAGUAAUAUUAAAUGAAUCCUGCAGGAAAUGAUGAUAAGGCACCGCAUUUUGUAUUUCUGGCUCAUAUGGUUGAUCUAUCAUCUUGCAUGCAUGUUCCCUUUGUUUUACGAUCCACUGCUUCACUUCCAUACAAAACAAGACUCUUAUUCCUCCCAGGUUUGCCAUUGACAUUUAUGGUUGUUUUGGCAAUGUGGAUUUGGUCCAAAACCUUUUUACUUAGUUUCUAUUACCUUCGAGGACGACUCCACCAAACGUGGGUUGUUCCGCGAUGUGGCUUUCAGGUGUGUCAUCUAUUUUUAUUUUAUUUUAUUUUUUUAAACCACAAAUAAAUGUUAGUUGUUAUUUUAUAUUUAUUUUAUUUUAUCUUUUAAUAUUCGUAACAGUAUUUCUUGCCAUUUGCUACUGAUGGAAUUAACAAGCAAAUUGAACAAGCUAUCCUUAGGGCUGAUAAAAUGGGGGUUAAAGUCAUUAGCCUUGCUGCAUUAAACAAGGUUAGGCUUAUAUUAUUGAAUUCAUUUAUUUCUUUUCUUAUUUAAUUUCACUAUUAUGAUUAAAUUUGGCAUUUUCUGUGCAUAGUUGUUGAAGUUUUUAAUGCCUUGUAGUUGUAAGGUACAGUACUGAUGAAACUAAAUAUAUUGUAGUUCAUCAUAAUUGCAGCAUUGGUGGACCAAUUUUGUAACUUCUUAACAUUUUACACAUCACAUUAAUAAUCUUUUUCUCUAAUUUUUUUUCCCAAAAAAUGUUUUUAUGUCUAAAAUAACUAUUGUGCCUAAAAGUAUUAGUAUUGGAUAAGUGACUCAUUAACGAAAUUAGAAUAGAUUCUGAUACAAUAUUAAAUUUCGGACCUAAAUUCAAUUUACAGUAAAUAUUGUAUAAAUUUAUGAGGAUGAUUUUUCUAAUUCAGGAAUUCUUAAUAUAUUUUUAUUGAAUACAGAAUGAGUCUCUAAAUGGGGGUGGAAAACUUUUUGUGGACAAGCAUCCAAACCUUAAGGUUAGAGUUGUUCAUGGAAACACUUUAACAGCUGCUGUUAUUCUCAACGAGUUACCACAAGAUGUUGAAGAGGUUUUCCUAACAGGAGCUACUUCCAAACUUGGAAGAGCAAUUGCACUCUACCUUUGCCAAAAGAAAGUUAGAGUUCUGGUAACUUUUCUCCCUCUACCAUUUUCAUUAAUUUUUUUAGAUCACAGUUUCAUUAUUUAAUAAUUGUUUGUGGUCCAUUUCAUAUGUGCAACUCUACUGUUUUAUGUCCUCACAACUUUGCACAAUUAUAUAAGUGUUUGUUUGCUUCUGCAACUCAAACAUUAAUUUUAAAUGAAUUGAGUUUAUUAAAAAGUGAAUUGAUCGUAAAAUUAUUUAUGUUUGAAUUAAUUCGCAUUAAAGUGAAUUAAAAUAUAAAUUUGAAUAUAAAAAUUACGUUUUGAGUCAAAUGCUACAAAUUCUACCGCAAUACCAAGAAGGGGAAGGCAGGGGAACUCUUUGAAUCAAUUAUGUUUAUAAUUUAAUAAAGAUAUAUGAUGUAUACAUAUAGUGGAAUGUAAAUUGAACUUUAUUUAUACUAAUAAUUGAUUCCUAAUUAGAUGUAAAUGCUGAAACUUUGCAGAUGUUAACAAUUUCAAACGACAGAUUUCAAAAGAUUCUAAAGGAAGCCCCUGUUGAAUACCAAAGCUACCUUGUCCAAGUGACAAAAUACCAAGCAGCACAAAACUGCAAGGUACUUUUAUGCGAAUAAUAAUUUAAAAAUCCAAAUGAUUGUGAAGUGUGAACAAUAUAUGAAUAUAAUUAGUUGAGUUAAUACAGACAUGGAUUGUUGGUAAAUGGAUCACUCCAAGAGAACAAAGUUGGGCUCCACGUGGAACCCAUUUUCAUCAAUUUGUUGUCCCACCUAUUUUAUCAUUUAGAAGAGACUGCACUUAUGGUGAUCUUGCUGCCAUGAGAUUGCCCGAAGAUGUGGAAGGUAUUGGCUGUUGUGAGGUAAACAAUCAAUUUCAUUAAUAUCUUUCUCAUCUUGUUUUCUCUAAAUUCAAUUCCAUUUAAUUUAUAUAUACAAUAUUUGAAUUUAGUUGAUAGUGUAAAUUUUUGUGGCAUUUUAGUACACAAUGGACAGAGGAGUUGUUCAUGCAUGCCAUGCAGGAGGAGUGGUACAUAGUCUUGAAGGUUGGUCUCAUCAUGAAGUUGGGGCCAUAGAUGUUAACAGGAUUGAUCUUGUGUGGCAAGCAGCACUCAAACAUGGUUUAAGGCUUGUUUCAAGUCAGCACAUUAAAUGUCAUUAAAAAUAUAUAUUUGCCAAACAACUUUAUAAAGCUCUGUCUUAUAUUUGUUUUGGUAAUCUUUCAUAUCAUGAGUGGCCAUCAAGUUUGGUUGUAUUCAUUCAACUUACUUUAAUUAGUGUGAUAUUUAUGUUUAUUAUUAAACGAUCAUUUAUAUGAUCGCAUACAUAUUCAUAGUUAUUCAUAAUCAUACCAUAAAUGAAGUGAAAGCAAACUUAGCUAGCUUCACAUUUUUCAAAUUUCUUCUAUAUUCAUUUCUUCUAUCGUAUGUUAAUUACUUUUUAGAUAGUGUUGAAAUGCACAAAGACAUAACACAAAUAGAUGGUGAAUUGAGCCAUGCGAUCUCUUCUUUUCAAUCAAUAAUAUCAGAAAAAUGAAAGUGUUGUUAUCAAUACAAACAAAUGACAAACAAGAAAAGGAAUAAUAAGUCAUGCAGCUAAUUAUAAUAAGAAUUAACAGCUAAUCAUUUAAUCUUUAAGAGAUCCUCCUGUAUCUUAUGUCUCACUUGAAUUGUAACCAAUUUUUUGAAAAAUAAUUAAUUAUGUUGAUUUUAAUCAUAAAAUGAAUUUCAUUUACACUUAUUAAUUGUGUUGAUUUUAAUAAUUCAAUGAAUUAAAACACAAUAAAUAAAAAUAUAUAUGUUAAUAAGAAAAAUAAUUAAUAUUUCAUUGAUAAUAUAAAAAACACAAUUGAUUUACAAUAAAUAAAUAUUACAAAUGAGAUACUUCAUAUCAGAUAGAGGGACUAGUAUUUCAGUAUUUUAGGUUAUAACUCACAAUUAUGAGGUGAUUAGGGUUGUGCAAAAAAUCCGGUUAUGAGGUCGAAAUUCAAAACUGGAUCUAAAUUCAUUUUAAAUAUUCGGUUAAAAUCAUAUGGUUAUAAUCCGGUUUAUUUAUAAACCGGUUGGAUAACUACUUAUGUUUUAUAUUUGGAUUUGGUUUUUAUCCACUACCAAUAUUUUGUAAAAUUUUGAGAUUUUAUUUCUUGAAAAUAAUUUGAAAUUUUUUGUUUUCAAAAAAAUUUCGAAAACAAUAAAUAAAAAAAAAAACUUUUUUUUCUCAAAAUAAUUUUAAAUCGAACUUUUUCUCGAAAAAUUAGGUGAGAAUUUUUUUAAAAAAAUUUAUCGAAAAAAUUGAUUUUUUUAAAUAACCGAUUUUUAAACUAUGAAUAAAUAUUAUUUUUAUAAAAAAUCAAAUUUUAACCGAUUUUGAAAAAAAAUAUCGAUUUUAAAAUUAAAAUUUUCAAAAUCAGUUGCUUAAUUAUAAACCGAUUAUUUAACCGUAACCAAUUUUACCAUUGGUUUUAUAAUAGAUUUUAAAUCAAAUAAUGAAUUUGGUUAUAAAUCCUAAUGCAUAUAUUAAUUUUAAAAUGAAUUUGAUUUAGUUUUUUAAAAAAACCAACCAUAAACAGCUCUAGAGGUGAUAAUGUUACAUCGAAAAUUUAUUGAAUUAAAUUUUAAGUAUUUAUAGUUUAUUUAAAAUCUUCGUACACAGUAGAAAAUGAGACUUGAAAUUCAAAUGACUUAUAAUUUAUGAUUUCGGAUAAAUUAUUUAAUUUUUUAAUUUGAGAGAGUAAUAAGAUGAUUUGAGGAAAGAACAUAUAAAUUAGAAUCAUAAAGAAGCUGUAGGUUCAACUCCCUUAUCCAUCAAAAAUUAAUAUUUGGCCAUUUCAAAAUAAUACUAAAUUAUUGGUGCUCUAUAAUUUCAAGAUUCAACAACAUUAUUUAUUCGCCACUGAGCACGGUUUAUUAAAUGAAUAAUGUGUACGAUAUGUUUUUUCACGAACAAAUUACGAAAGCUAAUAUUUUAAAUUAGGAAAAGUAACUAUACACUAAGUUGAAAUAGUCAAACCAAUUAAAAAAUGACACAUAUGAUUUUUUACAUUUCUGUUUUUAAUUAUAAUAUUUAGCAUUUUUCUUAUUAGAUAUAUCUUUAUCGAUUAGUUAAUUAUUUAUUUAAUUGACUAUAUAGUUUUAUAUAACUUUUGAUGUAAAUAACAAUUUUUUCAAUUAUCAAUAUAAUUCAACUUAAUUUUUUUCAUUUAUCUCUUAUCAAUAGUUUAAAUAAAAACUUAUGAUAUGGUUAUAGAGAUUAAUUAUUUCCUAUUUUUUUUUUCAAAAAUAUAUUGGAAAAUUUUUCAUAUAAACUUAAUUGAUUUAUCUUUUCUUUUUUGCUUGACUCUUGAACAAUUUGUUCAAUUUUCGCUCCAUCUUUCUCGAUUCAAAACAAAUUCUUUUUGCUUCUUUCUUUAUUUUCUUAUCUUUUCAUCUCAAAUUUCAAGUUAUAAUUAUCUCAUCACAAUAAUUAUAAAAAAAAAAAAAAAGAAACUCAUCAAACAAUGAAUGUUUAGAACAAAAUAUUUGUCUAACAAACUUUUUACAAAAUGCAACUUUUCUUCAAUACUUUGAUGUCUAAUUUAUUUCGACGUCAACAACUUUCGUCAAGUAUAAAAAAGAUGUAGUCAAGUAUAUUAUUCAAAUUAUUCUCGUCUUAAAUUUUAGAAUAUAUGCUAUCAAAAUAUAAAAAUUAUUAAUUGAUUAGUUUUUCAAGUAGUUCAUUUAAGUGCAUUAUUUUUAUAAUUAAUUUUAACAAAAAAUUAUAUAAAAAAUUUCUUAUAUAUAUUAAGGAUACAGGUAGUAUUUGCAGUAUUGGAGAGUUAUGACUUACUAUAUAUAGUAUAUGAGAUAAAUUUUGAAUAUUUUAUUUUUCAAAUUAGUUAGAUGUAAGGGACCUGUUAGUGCCUGUACGUGGCAGACAAUGGAGCAAUGAAUGAUAUAUAAUUUUUCUGAUAUAUAGUUGUUGGUUGCAUUAAUUUGAAACCGUCCAAUCAAUAAUCGUUUGAUUGUUUGGGAAAAGCUAACAAUUGGUGGUUAUCAGUUAGAUUCUAGUCAAUUCAAUUACCAAAAAUUUCAAGAAAGGUGGCGGAGAGGUGGUGAGAUUUUUUUUUUUUUUUUUUAAUUUACGAUAAAAUAUUUAAUUUAACGAUAUACAUUUAUAAGUUGAUAUAAUAAAUUCAUGUAAAUAUUUUUUUUUUUCAAUUUUUAUUAAUUAAACUGGUACAUGAAUACAUACUUAUAUUCUUUUUUUUUGCUAAGUGUAUAUAGACUUAUAUUGGCAUGUGAGUAUGCCCAAGAAACAUAUAAAUUUGGUUUGUUUGUCGAAUAAAUCACAAUAAUUUAGUUUUGAAAUUCUACGGACAAAGCAAUUUCGAAAAUAUUGAUGUACCAAGAGAAAUUUCAAAAAUAUUGAUUUAAAUAUUGAUGUACCGAGAGAAAUUUCAAAAAUAUUGUAUUUUUAUUUUGAUGUACCGAGAGAAUUUUCGAAAAACAUUUCAUUGGAUCUAAUGAAUAUUUCUACUAGAAAAAUGCCAAUUAUAGACUAUCAAAUGUCUUCGUUAAUUAAGUAAAACCGUCGGUAGCUUAAUAGUACUGGCCGUCUUCAUACUUUAAUAAUAAAAAAAGAAAGAAAAAAAAAACCCUUUAUUUCUAGUCAAUUUCAAAAAGAAAAAUAUUUGUAAUUAUUUUUAAACUUUAUCUCAAUUGAUGAACAUAAAUAUUGUGUGAUGGACGAAACUAUCACAAAUUUGUUUCCUAUUUAAAUUUGUGGUUGCAUAAUCCCUUAAAAAAUCUAUUAAUUAUCUCACAAUUGUGUCAGUUAAUUAUGGCGUAAUUUAUCAUUUUAUCUCUUUUAAGAUAAAAAAAUGUAAUCACUAAUUGUAAACUUCAAAUAUAUUGUUAUUACAUAUUGAAAAAAAACCUUAAUUAAAUAUCAUUUUGUAAUUGAUUGAUUUUAUAAGGGAUUAUGCGGCCACAAAUUUGAAUAGGAAACAAAUUUGUGAUAACUUCGUCCAUAUUCACACAUUUGUGGAUACUUAGUAUGCCACAUAUUCUCCUUCUAUUUUUUCUUUAAAAUUUUUUUCUAACAAUUUUCUCUUCUCAUUUUCUCCCUUUAAUUCUUAGUUCUAUCUUUUUUCUAAACUUUUUCUUAAACAUUUUCUCUAUGUUUCCUCUACUAUUAUUUUCUACCUAUAUUAUCUACUAUUUUUAUUUUACAUUUUAAAUAAAAAAAUUUAUUUGAAUUUUUUCUUUCUUUUUUGUUUUUCUUAAAUUGUUUACAUUUUUUGAAAGAAAUUUAAAUUGUUUUUUCUAUUUUAAAAUAAAUUUGUAUAUUUUUUAUUUUUUUAAAUGGUAAUUUACAAUUUUAAUCGCCAUAAUUUUUUUUUAUAUAUGAUCAUUUGUGAUCGUUUAAACCUCCACAAAAUGACUGAUUUUAUGUAAAAAGAAUUUCAGAGGAUUCAAACUCUCAAAAAUUAGUGCGAGCUCAUACACUCAUAUUUUUGUGAUGGUCUUGAGUCAAAUGAUCACAAAGUCUUUACCAAAUUUAAAUUAAAAGAAAUCAUCAAUUUACAACAUCUAGACCACUAUAAAUUUUUUGAGUAAAUGAUCACAAAGUCUUUACCAAAUUUAAAUUAAAAGAAAUCAUCAAUUUACAACAUCUAGACCACUAUAAAUUUUUUGAGUAAAUGAUCACAAAGUCUUUACCAAAUUUAAAUUAAAAGAAAUCAUCAAUUUACAACAUCUAGACCACUAUAAAUUUUUUGACCAACUCAAAUGUUAGUGCUUUUGACUGUCACAAGCCCGCUCCAAAUAAUUAUUUGUGUUGUUAAUAUAAUCUUGUGAAGGAUUUUGGCCGCUACAAAAUAUUAAUUCUGUUGUAGGAAAAAAGUUAUGAGAGUUUUAUACAUCACAAAUCUAUGUGAUUUUAAAAUAAUUCUUUGAGAGAAUCUUUAUCGCCACAAACUUAUUGAGUUUUAAAUAAAAACCUAUUUGUGAGAGUCAUGACCACCAUAACCUAUCUACAAAUUCUGUUCGAAAAUUUUGACAACCAUUUAAAGAAGAUUUUUUAAAAACAAGAAUUAUUAAUUAACUUUUUGAAUAAUCUGUAAUAAAUUAGACUAUUCAAUUAUGAUCAAUGACAAGUAUCUACUUUAACAAUUGAAUUAUUUAAUUGAUAUCUCAUCAAAUAGUCAAUUUAUUAUUGAAAAUUUAGACGACAAAAAUUGUCUCUCAUCGUCACUCUUAGUUCUUACAUAUCCCUAAUGUACACAUAUUGUCUAUAUUAAUAAUACAUGCUAUGAUUUGUAUUUGUUAUCUUCCCUUAAACUCCUUCACGAUAUCCAAGGACAAAUUUUAUAGCAAUCUGAUUUACGGUAGAGGCUACGGUAAAUCACUUCAUAAGUUAUGGUUGAUUUAAAGGUAAAACUACUAAAUUAAUUGUUUUAAUUUUAAAUAAAUAAAUAACUUUUUUUUAAUAAAAUAGUAUCUAUUUUUUUUUUGUAAUUAUAAAAUAAUUUAAUGUUCUAAUAUUUUUAAAUUUAAAAAUUAAUAAAAUUUAUCUAAAAUAUAUAUUAUUUUAACCAAGGUUAAAUUAAUCAACUGAAUUAUUUUUUUUAAAAAUAUCAUUUAAAAUUAAUUAUAUUAAUUUAAUAAAUAUUGUUUUGUUUUAAAGUGUCAAAAAAACUAAUCAUUUAUAAAUAAAAAAUUAGUAAUUUUACUGAGUUACAAUUAAAUGGUCUAAAAAAUCAUAUUUAAAUUCAUUUAAAUCUCUAUGUGGCUUUAACCUGCCCUACCAUAGGUGUAUAGAUUAUUAGCUCUUUUGAUCAUUAUGACUAACAAUAUAAUAAGUCAAUCGAUGUGAAUUCAAUAAAUAAAUAAAACAAAUAAAUUUUUCAAAAUUUAAUCCAUUAAAUUAAUAUCAAUCAUAUUAUUUGAUCUUCAAGACGAAAAGAGCCGCUACAUUAAACUUUUGAGUAGUGUACCAUGAUUCAUAAGGGAGAACCUAUAUCCAUAAUCGACCUUAGAAUUUGCCUAGGAUUUACAGAUACUGGAUUCUUAAAGCAUAUAUAUUCUGCGGUUAUGCCAUCGAGCCAUUGGUUAAAAUGAAUACUCGAGAACGUCAAAUGUGUGUCGUGAACAAUAGAAUGUAUAGCACCUCAAACUAUCAAUUAAAAUGUGGUUGAAAAAUAGAACAAUGUUAGGAGCUAAUUGAAAUACAAACACCAAUUGCUUCUAUGGAAAGCUAAAACCCAAUAGAAUUACAACAUAAUAACAAAUAGUGACAAAACAACGGGGAGGAAAUCUAAUAAGACGGUCCUACAAUAAUAUGUAAAUAAGAAAGAAUGUCAAUACAGUAUCACAACCGAAAUCUACAAUCACUUGUAUAUUAAAGUUUAAUUAAUCAAUAUAAACAAUCUAUACGUACCAAAAAAAAAAAUAUAUAAACAAUUUUAUGAUGUUUUUUUUUGUAAGUAUAUGUUAUAGUUGCGAAAUAUAAGUUGUUUUGUUGAUAACUAAUUUCCAGUAAAAAAUCUAGUUUAUCAUUUUAAACGAGGUUUCUCACUUCAACUAUACUUUUAAAUUAGAUAUUUUUUUGUUAGCACAAGAUUAUAUUAAAGCAUACACUGACGAGUUUUGUAUCGUACACUCCCUAUCUGUACGGUAUACCUUCCUUAUUUCAAUGGAAAAUAACAUAUUACUCAUUUUUACUAUGUAUAAAACCAUCAAAAAAAAUUUACCACUUUUUUCUCACCCCACUUUCGAAAAUUACAAAAUCUUCUUAAAAAUUCAAAAAUUUCAAACUUUCAAAAUAUAAAAAAGUGAGUUUUGUUGACAUUUUCGAAAGUUUUGUUAAAUAUGAAACUUUCGAAACUUAAAUUUCCAGAAAUUUUAACAAAUUUCAAAACUUUGGAUAAGUUUAAAAGUUUUGAAGUGUGUUUUUCCAAAAAUCAUCAAAACUUUCGAAAAGUUUGAUGAAUUUGAAACUUUUAAAACGUAAUGCUCGAAACUUUCAAAUUCCCGAAGUAAUUCAAUUUCAAAAAAUUCAUAACUUUCGAAAGUUUCAAUUUAUUUCAAAAAAUAUAUGUUGUCUUUUAUAAUUAAAAUUUUAUUUUGAAAAAUAAAUUUAUAAUGUUAUUAUUAAUUAAAUUUAUUGUUAUUUUUUAAAUUAGGUAUGAAAUUGAUUACUAUUAAUUUAUUACUAAAAAAAAAUAUUUCAAAACUUCUGUAUUGUUCCCAAAUUUUCGAAACUUGUUUCGGAAGUUUUAUUGAAGAUCAAACUUUCAAAACAAUGUCAGAACUUUUCAUAUUCCAAAAUUUUGAAACUGAAAAACCUCAUGUUUCUGAAUUUUACAUUUUGAAACUUUCAAAUUGUUAGAAAGUUUCGAAUGUUUCUGUAUUUCGAAAGUUUCAUCUUCAUGGAAACUUUUCAAAGUUUCAAAAUUUUAGAAAAAAAUGAACUACAAAAUUUCAUGUUCAUGGAAACUUUCGAGGAUUUGAAAAAUUAAUGUUUCGAAAAUUUCAAAGUUUCGAAAUUUAUUUUACUUUUGAUUUCAAAGGUUUCAAAUGUUCGAAUGUUUGCAAAUAUGUGAUUCGAACAAUUCAAACUUUCAAAGAAAAUAGAUGAAAAAAAGAAAAGGAAAACUUUUUGAGAAUUUUUACUAAUAAUAUUAAGGACAAUAUGAUAUUUUUUAUAGAGAUAGAAGUGGGAGGUAUAGGUAGAGGGUGCGAGGUACAAAACUCUUAAGUAUAAGUAUCGUGUAUUGCUGUAUCUGUGAAAAUGGUCUAAAGGCCAACAAAGAAAAAUCUGUUGAAUAAGGCCAGAGUCCAACAUACACACUAGUAUUUAUUGGGCCUGCAUGAGAGUAGUCACAAAACAAACUUGACACGUGACACUAGUGGUUUCCGUGAAAUGGACACGUGUGCCGUUGUUAAAGUUUGUAAACCGCCAACAAAACAAACAAACAAACAAACAACGUUGUCCAUGCCUCUUUCUCUCAAAACUCUGCAUUUUGGAUUCAACACAGAACGAAUAAGAAAUGGAAAACAGAACGCGCCUUAGAGUUCAAAAUAAGAAACCAAUUAAGCGCAGCGGAAGAAAACCGUUGGUGAAAAAGUUUUUUGAUUAUCUCAAAUCUGAUACUUUUAUGUACGCUCCUCUUGUCUCUCCUCAACCCUCUGUUUUACCCUCACCCAACGCCUUCAAAGGUUUCAAAUUCAAACUUAACCAUUAUUUUCUUUUCCUUCAUUGCCUUUUUUUUUUACUUUAUUUGAUGGUUUGUUAUGAUCUCAGUGGUGGAACUGAAAAGACCUAUAAAAGAGAAGCAUUGGUUUGGGGAGUAUCUCAAAUCUCAUGGGUAUAUGUAUGAUCCGUUGCUUGAGCUUCCAUUUUCACCUCAAGGUACUUUUUUUUUAAUCAAUUUUCAGCUAUUUACCAGUUUGUCCCUGAACCCUGCUCUAGGGACCUUUGUCAGUACCUAACAAUUUGGAAAUAGGAAAAGGUUUACAAAACCAUUUAUUCAUUGGAUGCUUAGGUUUAGAUUUUAUUUUAAAAUAUGGUAGAUGAUUUCAUUAACAUCAUAUCAUUAUGUCUAGCAGCUCAUUUUAUCCUCUUUUUUUAGCAUAAUUGGUAGCUUUAUGUCGGAGUCUUAAACAUAAACAGACAUACCAAUACUCCUAUUUAAAAUAAUUUGAUUGAAAUGGAAUACUGAAAAGUUGAAUCUUUAAGUAAUGCAAGAAUCAAAAUAUUAAACUUAAAGAAAGUUGAUGUAUUUUGAAACUGAAAUUGUUUCAUGAUCUAUUGUUAAGAGUCUAUUGACCUGCAACAAAAACAGGUUGCAAUGUAACAUCAUGUUACUGUCACUUGAUUAUUCAUUGAUUUUGUGUUGUUCAUCUGCUAAAUUGCAGAACCUUUGGAGGACUGUGUAACAAUAAGGAAGGAUGUUUCAACUGGAAAGUCAACUAUGAAUGUCAACAACAAAGAAACUAAUCAUUUAGGAAAUGUGAACCGAAGGUCUGAAAGCCAUGUUCCUCAAACGCAUCUCUCAGAUCACCGUACUCCGGGACACAAGGAAACUAUGAAGCAUACCGUAUACCAAAGUUGUCGCUCAACUUCAACUUCAAGUAAAAGUCUUUUGUUGCAUAAAAUGCAUUAGUUAGUUGACUGCUUUAACUUCUCUGAUAUAUCAACUAUUUCAAUUGAUGAUUUGCUGUUUGUUGUUGAAAAUGAGAUUCAAUUUAAUGAUUGAGACAGUAUGACUUAUGCUAGAAUUAGAUUUAAUGUUCUUUAGAUGUAAGAUGAGACUAGGAAAUUUAGUCAUUUUGAUGGUUAAUGUAUUGUGCCAAGUUGACGAUAUAGUAUUUUAAUUAAGAAUUAUUUUGACACACAUAACUCUGCUUAUGUUGUAUGCUGCAGGAAAUGUGACCCUCAAGUCACCGCUGAGAGCUCAUACUUGAUGGAAUCUUUUUAAUAUAAAUAGAAACAUAGAAGAUAAUAACCUAUAUGGGGUGUUGUUUUAGGUGUUUGGUGUUCAUAUGAUGAAUGUAUUUAGAAUUUGACUAGUUAUAGUCUUUGUCUUUUGGUAGAACAUACUAAUGCCAAAUUUGUAUUAGCUUAUUUUGAUAUGCUUUACAUGUAACGUAUAAGUUGUUUCAAUGUAUAGUUUGGAUGUAUAGUUAAAGGACAUGGAAUUCAUCUUUUUCAUCUGAUAAGAGAUAUUUGGUUGGUUUUUUGUAAGUUGGGCAAAUUCUAACCUGAACCACAUUGAUAGAUGAUUAAGAGAGUCAAUUGUUACAUCGACUUGAUCUUAUAGAUCAAGUAGAGUAUUAAUUUAUUUUUUUGUAGAAUACUAACUUAUUUUUUUUUAAAGAGGAUUGUUGAUCGUCGGUAUCUUAUAGAUCAAGUAGAGUAUUAAUUUAUUUUUUGUAGAGUAUUAACUUAGAGUAUUGUUGAUCGACGUUAUAGUUUUGAGUAAUUUUUAAGUAUUAAUUUCUGGAAGGCAAUUCAUUUAAUUCAUUUAAUAUAUGCAAAGUGGAUUUGAUUUUUCUAAAGUAAGAAAUUAAUAAAUUGGAGAAAUGAAUAGUUGAUAAUAUAAUUACUUAUCAUUAAUCAUGAAUGUAUAAAUUAUAUUAAUUAUUAAUUUGAUUAUUUAUAGUUGAUAUUAUUAUUUUAAUUUUUUAAAUGAGUGGUUUACUUUAGAAAAGUCAGAUUACUAUAAAAUAGAUAUCUUAGAGAAAUCAAAUCUCUACAAAUUAGAUAUUUUAGAAAUGAUCUUAUCAAAGAUUGAUUUUGAAUAGUGUUGUGCGCACAAAUAACCUCUACAAUGUCUUCCUUCUCGUCUUUACUCUACUUAAUGAUUUGUUUUACAUCUAUCGAUCUUCAACUUCAGUUGUUUAAACUUAACAUCCCAGCUCCCGUUUUUCACUUGAAUUUGAGCUGUUUUUUCUUUCUGAAUCUUGAACUUGAUUGAGCUGUUGAGCAUGCAUGAUAUUGAUGAUCUUUUAUUUUUGGAACAAAAUUUGUAAGGUGAUAGUAAUUAUUAGGUGACAUUUAUUAUAAUAUUUUUUCAAUGGGUUCCUCUAAUUAUGAGAUGUUUUACUUACAAUUUAACAUCUCUUGCUUUACAUAUUUAACAACUGUAAAUAGUUACGGACAACAAAAAAACAAUGGUUUAAUACAUCUAUUAUUAAUGAGAUGGAUGCGUAUUAUAGAGUUAGGUCAGAGGCCUACUAUUACCUUUGUUAGCUAGUCCUUAAGAUGAAGGAGUAGAUUAUACUCCAAGCAUCAUACAUCUCUACUUAAGUGUUUUUUUAUAAUCAAAUAUAAGAAAUAAUCAAUGGUUAAAUUAGUUUUUUAAAUUUGAACAUGGGACAUCCUUUUUAAUAUUGGAUGUUUUUUAACUCACCGAUCAAAGUUAAUUAUAGAUGAGUAUUGAGAGUUGUUUAUAAAGUAGCAUUAUAAUAUAAUAUAUUAAUAAAUAAAAAGUCCAUGGUCAGUUAAAGAGAAACACUGAUAUGAUUCCGUUUCCUUUUUACUCAAAAGAAACAAGCUCCAAUUCAAUGAAAUAUUAAAAUGAAGAAUAUAUGAUGGAUAACUAAAAUAAUUGUAGUGAAAUUUGGAGGCAAAGAAACACAAUGAACACGGAUAAGAAAAACUUAUGCAUCACAACUCACAAGUACAUGCUAUGGAACGAACAUUAAAAAUGAACGUGGUCGAAAAUAUUGAUUUAAUUUUUACUGCACCGGAUUAAACUUGAGUACAGUAAUUCGUUUUGUGGCACAUAAUAAGAAUGAUUUAUAUAAAGAAACAAGCCCCGAAGAUCUCGUAGUGGUGGUAACUCUACCAUGCAUAUCAUGGUCUGCCACUGUCCUAAAAGCUGUAAAUCGAUUAUAUAUGCGUGGUUGCUAGCUAGCUAGCUACUUCUUCUUCAUAUAUAACAGCUUCCUUAUUAACAGGAAUGACACAUUAUUUGCUUCCUGUUGUUGCCGGCUAGCUAGCUCGUUUCUGUCAAUUUACAAGCCUACCCUAUAUUCUACAUUAUUUUUUUCGAAUUUUUUAACAUGAACCGCGUCCAUCCAUCGUGGACAUGUAAUUGAAAAGGUUUAAAAUUGGAUUUAAAUAUACAAUUAAUUCUUUCAAAACCUAAUAAAAAGUUUAUUUUAGUCUCAACAAAAUAAAAAUUUCAGUUUAAGUCAUUGUAAAAUACAAACGUUUUCGUUUUAAUCUCUAAUGUUAAACACUAUUAGUUUUUAAGGGUUGAAUAAUUAAUUUUUAUACUUAGUUUUUACAAUAUUUAAUAAAUUUAAUUUUAAUCUCUAUAAAAUAUAAUUGAUUUUAGUCUCUCUAUACAAAAAAACAUUGUUCUACUCCAAUGUACGGUUUUAUAAUAAAUUAUAAUUAAUUUAUUAUUAUUAUUAUUAUUAUUAUUUAAUUAAAAGAUAUAAAAAAAUUAAUUUAGAUAAAUUAAUUCAUGACAAAGAUUUAUUCUGUUGUAAUUAUAUAUUUCAUCCGCUUCUCAAUGUCAAAAAUUAUAGUUAACACAUUAGUUUUAUAUUGACAGUAUUAAAGAAAUACCGAUUUUUUUACUGACAAACAAACAAUUCUCCUUGCAUGAUUUUGAUAAUACAUUUAUAAUUAUUAUAUGAUAAUAUUCUCAAUUUUAUUUAGAACACAUUGAAAAUAUUAAAUUUAACUAAUUAAUUAGAAAGAUACUCUUAUUAUGUUUAUGAAUUAUACGUGUGAACUACUUCUUUUGUGAUUCAUUUUUAGAAGAAAAAAUAUGAAAAAAAAUUAUAGUUAUUGUUUUAUAAUUGUUCUCAUUUUUAUGUUGUAUAAUAAAUAUGAAAACAAAAAUUGUAAAAAAAAUUUAUCAUAAACAGUAUAAAAAUACAUUUAUUGUCAAAAAAAAAUUAGUAAAAAUUAUUAUUUUAUUAAUAUCAUCAACAUAAAAAUCUGAAAAAUUAUCAUACAAUAAUUAUAAUUUUUUCACACUCCACGUUUUCACGUUUUUUUUUUCUUUUUUAAAAAAUAAAUCGUAAAAGAAACUGUUGGAACAUACAAUUCAUACACGUCACAAAUAUUUAUCUCUAUUCAAUUAGUUAAAUUUAUUAUUUUUUAUGUCUUCUAUACAAAAAUAAGAGUAAUUAUAAUAUACUAAUUACAAAUAUCUUAUAAAAAUCAUACACGCACAAUUGUUGGUCAAUAAAGAAUUAGUUAAAAUAAAUGUUUCUUAAUAUCGUCAACUUAUAAAUAAAAAGAUUAUGAUACAUUAAUUAUAAUAUUUUCACAUUAUUUGUUUGAAAAUGAUCUAUUAAAAAAGUUGGUAUAACAUAUAAUCAUAUUGUGGAUAAAUAAUUAUCAUUAUUCAUCUAGUAAAAAUUAAGAUUUUUUAUAUCUUCUAAAUAAAAAAGAUGAUUGUUUUAAUUUAUUAAAAAAUUGUAUACAAAAGUAAAAUAAAUUUUUUUAUGGUUAAAUAAAAUUUUAUUUUUAAUAAAAUCUCACUAUUUUGUUUUUAGUUCUUAUAAAAAAUUUCAUCACCUUUUAGUCCUUUAAAAAUUUUCCUUUUAAUUUUUUGUCCCUAACUUUAAAUCAACUAUUAUAUAUCAUUCGAAAUUUUAAAUGAUUUUUUGCAGUAAUGAUUAAGAUAUAUUUAACAACUUUCUGACAUCAAUUUAGAAUUUUUCAACAAAUAAUUAAUUAAUUAAAUAUAAAUUUUAAUUUUUUUUGUUUAAAAAUUCAUAUCUCAUUUGUAACUUUUUAAAAAAUUCUAAUUUUGUAUAUGAUUCUUUUUUUAAUGUCUAAGUAAUACUAUAAAAUAUCAUUCAAAAAUUUUAAAAAUACACAAUAAUUGUUAUAAAAUCAGGGAUCGAAAAUGAAAACGGAAAAUUCUCAAGAUUAAAAUAAAUUUUUUAUAAAAACUAAAAACAAAAUAACAAGAUUUUAUAUUUACUAAAAACUUAUUUGACCCAUUUUAUUACUACGUAAGUACUAAAAUCAAAUUUCUCACAUAUUGUAGGGACUAAAACAAUUUUUUUAUUUUGUCGAAACUCAAAUCAAAUUUGUUGGAUUUUGCAAGGACUAGGUUUAAAGCCAUUAAUUAUUUAACUUUUAAAAAACUAACGGUGUUAAGCAUUAGGGGCUAAAGUAAAAAUGUUUGCAUUUUGCAGAUAUUUAAACUAAUUUUUUUAUUUAUCGUGGACUAAAAACAAUUUUUUUUGCAUUUUGCAAGAACUAGUUGCAUAUUUUACCUUUUAAAAUUUCAAUGACUAUAGAGGUCUCUUAGAAAUAAACGUUAAUUGUCAUCUUCAAUUUCAUAAUAGUUGUUGGAAGUGAGUUCAAAAUUUCAAAGUAUGCAAUAAAAUUCAUAGAAAAAUGGAAUGAUUAUUUCAAAAGGUCUUAUACUUUGACUAGUGAGAUUUGCACAUUCAAUUUAGAAAAAUGAAUUAGGAGCGUUCUAGUAUUCAUUAUAAUUGAAAAGUAUUAAUCUCUUUCUGGAUGAAGGCGAAUUCCCUAUCCUAUAAAUAAAUAGAUUAGUUUAGAGGUGAAAUAUCCUCAAAUUUGAAUGAUCAUAGAAAGAGUUAUACAAUAUAUAUUUUAGGCGAUUAUGUGGUGAGUUAGGGUAUCUUCAACCAUGUCAUAGUAAGAGUAAAGUCAGAAUGAUCAUUUGUUGUGGAGGAAGUGAAUGUUCUCAUUUUUUAUAACUCUUAAAUUUGAGAUAUUAUUGUAGGAUGAUAUGCAUAUUGGAUUGGGUUACAAAUUGUUGUAAUUUUAUUUGAGAUAAUGAAUGAAUUUUGUUGGGGGCGUCAAAUUACUUCAUUUAUAGUUUGCUCUUGUAUAUUCAUCAAAUAUCUACCCGUGUAUGGAUUAAUAGUUGGCAUGAGUAGAUUUUUCCAACAUCGACUUACAUGAUAUCGAUUCGAUAAAAUAAAAAUAUGUAUAUUGUAUUAAAACGACAUCAAUGAAAGUCAUCAUUUCAUAACUAUAAAAAUAUAAAAAAAUCAUGAACUAUUUAUUCUGAAAAAUAUUAUAAAUCAUAGUUAAAUUUCUUAAGAAUUUUAUCCGUUAGAUCACUUAUGAAAGUAAUACAAAGUAAAGCUCGCCAUGAUAAAACUCAAAUGGUGAUUAGUACCCUCAAUUAAGUUGUUUUUAUCUAUUAAGCAACACCCCAAUUAAGCGCCUCCUUCUAAAUUGAAAAAAUUUGUGGAUAUUAAGGAGAGUGAAUUUACAAAGGCUCUUUCUAUUUUUAAUCUUUGCAUAUUAUAUUUAAUAAAAUAUAUUACAAUAUAAUAAAUACUAACAAAUGUACUUGAUAUACUAGUUUAAACUGUUAAAGAAUAAAAAAUAUUUAAAUAUUAAUAUAUUAAAAUGUUUGUUUUGCUAUUUUCAGUUUUAAAAAUUGAUUUUUAAUUUCUUAACUAAUUUCUUCAUGAAAAACAAAUUUAUUUCAUAUGUCUCUGUUUGAAGAAAAGUAGAGCGAUUCAAGAUACAUUUAAAAUACUUGUUAUAAUAAGAUAUUUAUAAAUAUUUUUUAAGUGUUGGUUGGAGGAAUAUAUAGUUAUGGACAAAAAUAUUCUAUACGGUUUGUAUAGGGUAUUUGUUUUAUUUAUUGUUCUUUAUCUGUUUCAAUUACAUCGACAAUUUAUAAAUAAAAUAUUUGAAUACAAUAUCAAUUAUAUUGUUAUUCAAAUAACAAUACUCAUAUUCAGAAAAAAAAAUAAAAAAAAAAAUACUUGCCAUAUUUUUUAUGAGUCCUGAAUAUAAAGUAUAUAAAUUUUGAAAAAUGUUAUCUAAACAUAAAAAAAUUAAUAUCUAACAUUGUAUUUGUAUACGGUUUGUAUACAAUGUUGAUUUUUUAUUUAUUAUUUUCUCUUUCUAUCAUUUCUAUCAAUAUAUAUAAUAUAUUUUUAUACAGUAUUAAAAUAUUGAGACAUAUAUUAUAUAUUAUAUAUAGACACACGGUGUGUUAAUCAUUAUUUUUAGUAAAAUUUUGUAUAAAAAUAAAAAUUAAAAAUAUUUUUUUUAAAACAAUAUAUAUAUUUAUGUAAUUAACUAUUUUAAAUAUUUUAUUAACUUUAAAAAUGCAUAUAAUUUACCAAUUUUUAAAUAUAUAUUUUAUUAAUUAUUAAAAUACAUAACAUUAAUCAUUUUACAGUAUUUUUUUAACUAUUAAAUAUUAAUACUCUAAAGUAGUUAAUAUUUUACAUUUUAAUUGUUAAUAAGUUAUAUCUUAAAUAAAUAAUUAAUAAUUUAUAUACUGUUCACCUUAUAAAUAAAUAAAUAAUUUUUUUUUAAAAAUAAAUUAAAAUACUGUUCACCUUAAAAAUAAAAUAAAUAAUAUAUAUAUCAAAUAUUGUGUCCAUAAUUUAUAUUUAAAUAACAUUUUUUUCAUUUUUUAUAUAUUUAAAUACCAUUAACCUUAAACUUUAUGUUUAGGGAAACAUAUAUUAUAUAUUAUAUAUAGACACACGGUGUGUUAAUCAUUAUUUUUAGUAAAAUUUUGUAUAAAAAUAAAAAUUAAAAAUAUUUUUUUUAAAACAAUAUAUAUAUUUAUGUAAUUAACUAUUUUAAAUAUUUUAUUAACUUUAAAAAUGCAUAUAAUUUACCAAUUUUUAAAUAUAUAUUUUAUUAAUUAUUAAAAUACAUAACAUUAAUCAUUUUACAGUAUUUUUUUAACUAUUAAAUAUUAAUACUCUAAAGUAGUUAAUAUUUUACAUUUUAAUUGUUAAUAAGUUAUAUCUUAAAUAAAUAAUUAAUAAUUUAUAUACUGUUCACCUUAUAAAUAAAUAAAUAAUUUUUUUUUAAAAAUAAAUUAAAAUACUGUUCACCUUAAAAAUAAAAUAAAUAAUAUAUAUAUCAAAUAUUGUGUCCAUAAUUUAUAUUUAAAUAACAUUUUUUUCAUUUUUUAUAUAUUUAAAUACCAUUAACCUUAAACUUUAUGUUUAGGGAAAUGUUUUUCGACACAUAUAAACACAAACAUCAUAUAUUAUAUACAGUUUUUCAAUUUUUAAUGAUUUUGUCGAUAUAUUGUUCUCAGACCUCGAAAUCGAUAUUUAUGUUUAAUUUGAUACGGUAUAAAAAUAGAGCGUACAAAAUCGUAUACAGAAAUAUUUAAGGGCAGUGCAAGUAAUGUGUUGGAAAAAGGAAGGUUGGAAAAGUAGUAAUGAAAUUGAUGGAUGGGAAAUUUGUGGAAGUAGAAGACGCAGAAAAUCCGGAGCGCACAUGCAUGUAUUGAAAAGACUAGUCUAUUGAACUCCUUAUGAUUAUAUGCUCUUGUCUUAUCAUGAAAGAUAAGUUAUGUUAGGAAAACCCUUCUUUCCACACCUAAAAUAAGGGCCCCUUCAAACCUAUGCACGUGCAUUUAAUUUUAUUUAAUGUAUAUACACCCCACUCCACCUUAAUCACACUGCCUUCGAAAUUUAUAAUUGUUACAUGCAGCCCCGGCCAGUUAUGGAUAUACAAUGUCGUUGGAUUAUUUGACAAAAAUUUGUUUUAUAAUACAAUACUAUACAAUUCUACAUAUAAAAAGCUGAAAUCAUUGAAAUUAAUGUUGUGCAAAUACCUACCUAUAUACCAUUUUAAUCCAGUAAUUAAAUUGGACUCCCGACAGGUACAUAUACAUUUAUAUGAUACUUUAUGUGUACAGUAAUUUACACUAUUUUCAGCAAUAAUAGUACAUACCAAUCUUUAUCUGGGCUAGGCUGGAGUCUUGGCUAGUUUCAAUGUUAGAAAAAGACCUAUAACAAUUUCUCCAAAUAAAAUAUUGGUCUCCACCAUAUUGAUCUGGAUAUAUUAAUGAAAGAAUUUUCUCCCGUUUCCUUCAAUCCAAUCAUAUUCAUUUAAAAAAGAUAGAGAAAAAUAAAUUAUUAAUUAUUAUUAUUAUUAUUAUUAUUAUUAAAUAAUAGUUAAAGUGAUAUUAACGACUCUUUUAUAUAUAUUUUGAAGAAUACUUGAACUACCUUACGAUGUAGAGAGAAAUAAAAUGUAUGAUAAAAUAAAGUUAAUGUUUAUAGUUUACAAUUUGUAGUUAAAUUAUGGUAUAUAUUACAACAUAAACCUUGCUCGUGCUAAAAUAAUAUGCUCAUUCAUCACUAAUUGUGAAUAAUACUCAAUAAUUUAAUUCUCACUUGAUGCAUAUAAUCGAAUCAACAUGGCUAUUGGCUACUAAAUACUCUUACGAAGCUUCGAGGUUGAUAUUAAACAAUAAUUAGGUUUGUGAUAAUGUUGAAUUUGACUAUAAUGAUAGGAACAACAACGACCCAAUAAAUAUCGUACAUAACUGCAAUUAUAGCAAAUUAAAAUUCAAAAUAUUAUAAUCAAUGAAACAAUGUCCAUAUUUCCUAUAUGAAUUGAGACUCCGUAUUGACGAAAAAAGAAUUGAAAAAUUGAAUGAUGUUUUGUGAAAGGGGAGUUGAAAAAUCUGAUAUAGGAAGUCACCGAUGAGAAGGUGAUGUGAUUGAGAUAAAUUAGUAUCUAGUGUCACUAUCAAUCCACCACAAACAAUUCUGUUACCCAUUGACACACCUCUAAACUUUUCUACCAUUGUGAAUUCAAUUAUUGACAGGAAUGUCCCCUUCAUUUCAUUUCCCUAUAUAUAACCACCCAUCCAUCCAACCCCUUAAAUCAUUCAUUCAUUAUCACCCCAUCUCAUUAUCAUCUUUUUUUCUAAUCUCUCUUAUUUUAGUUUCUAGGAAUUGCAGGGGCAAAAUGGGAAUAAGGCAAGGUUUGCAUGUAAGAGGAAGAAAGAAGAAGGCAAAACUGUGUUUGGCAAAAAAAGCCAAUGCUGGAAAAAGUACUUCCUUACAAAAGAAGUUUCGAGAGCUUCAGAGGACUAUUCCAGGGCAGGAAUUGAACAUGCACAAUUUGUUUCAAAGCAUUCAAAAAUACAUAUUUUUACUUGAAGCUAAAGUCACUAUUUUAAGGUGCUUGUCCAACUCCUAUGGGGUAUAAGCAAGAAAAAAUAAUAAUUAAUCUAUAUAUAUUUUAUCUCUAGAGAAAAAGAGUGCCCCAUAAAAUGGGUGAAGAUAAGGUUAUUAGAUAAAAUAUAAAAUAAACAAAAUUUCUGAGAAAACAUUGCAGGGAUUAAUUAUUUAUUCCAGGUGUUGGAUGGAAUAAUGUAUAAGGUUGUAAUUUGUUUAAACUCUAGAAUAAUUAAAGAAUUAUUAUGUAUUUACUUUUUAAAUCGUAUUUUUCACUCACUUCUCCUAUUAUUCUCUUUACCAUUAUUUCAUACUCAAGAUCUCCGUAGCUAUUUCAUUUCUCUCUUCUUUGUAUCCCUCUCUAGUGAUUCAGUGAACUUAUGUGGUUUUUGUAUUAGCAUACUUUAUGCUUAGAGUGGUGCCUAGCUUAUAAUUCAUUUUUCUUUUUCUAAAAAGAAAAACGCAUUGUUGAUUGAGAAGGCUAACAUCGAAAACUUUUUGACUCACUCAGUUCUUUCGGCCUUAUCCUUUACCUUGUAGCCCAAAAAUACCAUCAUUACAUCACAUUGUAAUCCUAUUUCUAAGUAUGGAACAAAAGAAAUAUAUUUUCUAAUUAUAUCCACAAAUAUCUAAUAUCUAUAUUUAGAGAUACAAACAAAAAUUAAAAAAUAAUUGACACUAUCUUUGUUUCUAAUUAUAUGCAUAUUAUAGACGGA